AGGGGUUUUGGUUCUUGACACUUGUUACGGCACCGUAGUCUCUCCAAUCAAUACUUUGAGGCACCGCGGAGAUGUCUACGUCAUCAAACGACACCACUGGCUCUCUCUCGAUAUUUAGUGGGCGAGAUAUACCACCAGUAUAUUGAGCAACAAAUUCGUUAUUUGUCAUAUCGGUAAACUGAUUGAUGCCGAGAGUGUACGAAUUUUUAUUGCGACUGUUAAAGGUUUCGAUAUGGUUCACGUUGUUCUUGAAUAUCUGAAACCGGCGCAUCUUCUCAUCGUUGUCCUUGUAAACUCGGCCGUACUCCACCAUCCAUUCUUCAAACCGCUUCAUCAUGGGAUCACUGGGUUCGUCAGCAGAAGCUGCCGAUGGCGAAGCCCACAUCACACAGAGAAACAAGAAAAGAAACACGAGUUGAACUUUCCAAGCCAUGCUUAUGUAGCACUAAAUAUCUGCUAUAUGUAUGAGGAAAUUGGAGAUCGAGCUACAAGAGCUUUUGUUGCUGAGAGUAUGGUCUCAAGAUCGAGUUUAUAUAGAAGUUCGUGCCUUCGAAUGUAGGGGGGAGAAUUAAUGGGUGGAGGCCUACAAGAUGUCACAAAUCGCCAUCAAAUUAAGAUUAAAUAGUUCUGGACGGCUUGCGACACCACGUCAUGUGGUCACUAGUGUAGAUAUUAUUGAAAUAAAAAUUUGUAUAAAAUAAAAUAUCAGUUUGGUAUGAAAAAAUAAUAAAUAUAGUCUAUAUUAUAAACAAACACUUCUAAACAAAAUAAAACUAAAAUGAAAAAAAAAUUAAUCGUUCCAAUAAAAUUAUUCAAGCUUGUUAAAAAAAAAUCGCAUACAUACAAAUGGAUGAUUAAAAUUAUUUUUAUAAUACAAUAAUAAGAUAAAAUAUCAUAUAGUAGUUGAUAUGAUUAAAAAAAAAAACUCACAAUAAUAUGCAAGACUAUAUAUAUAUAUAUAUAUAUAUAUAUAUAUAUAUAUAUAUAUCGAGUUGAGUUAGAAUGCUAUCGAUAGCGAACGGGCUCUGUCGCCAUCCAUUUGUUUUCGAUGAUGGAGCCUUCAAAUCGACAAUCGGCAUCUUUGAACAUGAUUUAUAUCACUUGAAAUACUGAGAAAUAAAAUUUUAAAUCUUUUCGAAAUCAUUUACCUAAUGAUCAAAGGGUUUCAAAAUUUGUAAUUUUAAUAGUAGAUGUGAGAUGUUUUCUCGUUUAACGGUAUAAAGCUAUCGAAAUCAAUUAAAUUUUGGUUACAAAAUUAUUUAAACUAUUUAGAUUAAGNUUUUAAUAUAUUUUUUGUCUAAUUUGUAUAUUUAGAAAAUGAUGAAAAAUGAAUUUGUUAAAUGUUAAUAAUUUUUUAAUUUUAGAAUUUUAUUUGUUGCAUUAUUAUAAUUUAUAUGCAAACAAAUAAUAUAUUUUUAAAAUUUUAUUUUAUAAUUAUACAUAUAUAUAAUUAUAUACAUAUAUAAUUAUAUUAAUUUUUAUUUAUUAUAAUUUAUUAUUCACUAAGUAACAAAAUAGACAAUAAUAUCACUUCGGAGGUAAGUAUACCGGGGGUGGAGAGCUACACUUUUUAUAUCAUCUAUUUCCUACCAAACAAACAACAGAACUCACAGAACUGCACUUCCACAGUUAGAAACAAACAGCUGAAGUGAAUUAAUUUUCACCUAAACUCCACUUUUAUCCAAAGUCCACUUCCACCCAAAGUCUACUUACGUUGAAACAAACAUGCUCUUAUUGGAGAACCGCCAAAAAGGAUGGAGCGGGGCCAAGUUUCUCAUGGUGCUACUACUAUGUGGGCCAAGAGCCAUCUCGAUCCGCAUAAUAUAUUUUUUACAAAAAUAUUUUUAAUAGAAUAAAAGUUUUUUACUAAAUAUUUUUUAUUUAUAUAAAUAUCAAUGACUAUUUAUGAGUCCAGCUAGGAUACUAUCGAUAGCACCAAGGGUUUGGUGCUAUCGAAUUUUCAACCGUUAGAUUUAACUCUUUGAUUAUUUUUACCUGUUUGAUUAUACUAUUCAACAACCACCCACUCUACCUAGGGGAUCCACAUUAUCCUAACUGUAUAUUUUUUAAUUUAAAGACUAAAAAACUAAUAGCACCAAGCUAUUGAUAGUAUUCCAGCUUAGUUCGACCAUUUAUAUCUAUAUAUUUUAAUAUUUAUUCUUCAUUAUACAUUGGCUUCAUAGUACUAUUGUAUAACACAACCCAAUUAUGUGGCUAGGUCGAGUUACAGCAAACCCUUAUUUCCACCCUAGAAUACGCGCAUACACAAUUGCAUUGCAUAAGGAGACAAAUGUUCGAUCCAUUUUGUAAUACUAAUUAAUAAGCAGAAGUACUUGAUCACAGUAAUUAAGGAGCACACUUAACUGUAGAUCUUCAAACUAGCUUACAUAUAUACUCACUGAACACACCGAAACAUAACAGAAAUUAACCACAAUGUCGAAGCAAGCAGCUGAACAAAUGGAUGCGUACAUGCAUCCUUAUUUUAUAACUAAGCAAAUAUAUAUGAUAGCAAACUGCAUGCAGUGCGUUGCUAAUCAUCAUCACUUCCGAUCGACCUACACUGAGCUUCGACUUUCAGAAACCAUUUUAAUGGCUUCGACAUUGGCCCCUGAUUCUAGAGUGGGAUAGAGAGAAUCAAUGGCGAUUCCACAUAUUCCAGAUGACGAUGACACAUCUCUUGCCAUACGGAUGUAUCCGGCCUCACCCCAUCUGGCACCCCAUGAGUUCUUUACUAUCCAAUAUUUUUUUCCGUUGCUAUCCUGCCCGUAACCUAUAGCGGUGACGGCGUGAUUGAGACUAGUUCCACAAGGUCCGUUAAACACACCGCUCUUGUAAUAUUGAAAGUUUGCAUUGGCAUCGACAGCAACAGUUAUUGGUUGUUUCGACACAGCGUACAUCAUGCUGCUUUCGUUGUUCCUCGGCACACGUGCAUAACCAGUAAUAUAAGCUGAAUUGGGCACGCCAUUGGUCUUGCAGGUGCCUUUGGCUGCUUUGUAAGGGUAGAUAGCUGCCNUUGGAAUCGGACCACGUGUUGCACGUACGGAAUAGGGAGUGAUAAGAAAAAUCUCAUAAAUUAUUAAUACCGUCCAGGCUCUCUUGAGCGAUUAGGAUGUGUAUGGUUGCACGUAAAAUUGUGAAAAAAAAAUUUAUCAAGAAAAAAAAUUUUGGUGGAAAAAAAAUUUUACGUCUUUAGUGUUUGAUUUGUAGGAAAAGAAAAAUAUUUUUUCAUGACUGUUGUUUGGUUGAAAAGAAAAAAAUUGAUAAAAAACUAUUUAAUAUAAUUUUUUAUUAUAUAUUAUUAAUAUAUUAUUAUAAUUUUUAUUUAUAGAUUAAAUAUAUUUAAAAUUAUAAUAAAUAUAUAACAUAAUAUCUAAGCUUACCCGAAUGCCACGCCUUGUUAGAUAUGAUGAAUUCGAAGGCUCCUGAACUCCCAGCCGCCCUUUGCACCCCAGUAGCCUUUAGCACAAUCGAAACUUUGCUGCUCCGGUUGAUUUUUUUUGUAAAAGGUUUCUAAAGAUCCCUUUGUUUGAUCUUGUGAUUGAUUUCUAAACCCGUCGCAAUUGCAGGCGAAUGCCACAGCAAGCCACCUGUGCCGAAACAAAGAUUGAAAUCGGUGUUAGCAUAGCUAGUGUAAAGCAAAGUAAUAUAUAUGUAGUUGCCAUGAUAAAAGAAAAACAUUCCAACUAAACCUAAUUAGAUGUUAUUUGUCAAGUAUUGCAGCUGCUUUUAACUUGUUUCAAGUCAGUUGUCAUGCAUAGGGAUGUCCCAUUCUUUUGACUAACACCGUACAUAUUUUGCUUAACUUUCAUAAUAUUAUUGUAAUAAACUUAAUUAAUAAUAGAAAUUCAAAUAAUAACCUAACGCCUAGAUGAUUGAAAUCAAGGUCGAAGUCUAUGAUGUUAUGGUUGAAGUCUUUAAGUGUGUUUUGGAUGAGCAAUUCUUCUUAAUCAGCCAUGUAUUUCUGUAAUCAGUUUGAUUGUGACUUAUGAUCCACAGUUCCGAUCAGGCAAGGCGAUGAUUUUUUAUACUAGAUUCAAACUUCCUUGUAUGAGAAUUGAUAAUAAAUGUCUAGUGAAUGUUUAGAGCAAAAUAAUAGAUUAUUGCGUUUUAGUGGUGGAGUUUUGGUCCUUUAGCCAAAAACGGCGGAAGGCACUUCAUUGGUGAGAUUUGAUCUAAGCAACAUGUUUAAAGUUAACUAAGGUAGCAUUUGGUUGGGAAUAAUAGGGAAAUAAAGCCCUUGUUCUCAAACGCAGCUUUGUAUCGCGAGAAUAAAUAGUUAAUUCUCGAGUUUCUAAAAAUGCCCGGGUAUAGAAGAUUGGAAAGCGUUGUUCCAAACCUUUUUCUGGAAAAGUUUGUUCCUAGGUGAGCAAUAAGAUUAUUAAAGUCUAAAUAGUUUAAUUUAUGGUAUUCGAAUUAACUUAAUUAAUUUAAUUAAUAUAUUUAAAAUUACCUAUUUAAAUCUUUAAAUAAUAAAAUAAUGUAUUAAUUUAUUAUAAUUAAUUAAUUAAUUUAUAAUUAAUAAGAAGUUCGUAUCUAUUUCUAAAUAAGCGUUUUUACUAUACCCAAACCAAACGCAGCCUAAAUGGAAUAGGUAUUGUCUCCCUAAAGUUGCAAGAAAUGAAUUGCAUUGAUAAUUUAUACGCUAAAAUAUUUCUUACGCACAGGCGGUUUUGGUGCUAUGACACUUGGUUAGGCGGCAACCGUAGUUCUUCCAAUCAAGUACUCUUGAGGGCACGCGCGGAGAUGUCUACGUCAUCAAACGACACCUACUGGCCUUCUCUCUCGAUAUUUAUGGGCGAAGAUAUACGCACCAGUAUAAUUGAGGGGCAUAAAAAAUUCGUUACUUUGUCAUAUCGGUAACUGAUUGAUGCCGAGAGUGUACGAAUUUUCGUUGCGACUGUUAAAGGUUUCGAUAUGGUUUCACGUUGUUUCUUGAAUAUCUGAAACGGCGCAUCUCUCAUCGUUGCUUGUAAACUCGGCUCGUACUACACCAUCCAUUCUCACCCGCUUCAUCAUGGGAGAUCACUGGUUCGUCAGCCAGAAGCUGGCGAUGCGAAGCCCACAAUCACAACAGAGAAUACAAGAAAAGAAACACGACUUGAACUUUCCAAGCCAAUGCUUAUGUAGACUAAUAUCUGCUAUAUGUAUAGGAAAUUGAGAUCGCAGCUAAAGAGCUUUCUUCUGUGCUGAGAUGGUCUCAAAAAGAUCGAGUUUAAUAUAGUAAGUUCGUACCUUCGAAUGUAGGGGGGAGAAUUAAUCGGUGGAGGCCUAACAAGAAUGUCACAAAUUCGCCAUCAAUUUAAGAUUAAAUAGUUCUGACGGCUUGCGACCCACGUCAUGUGGUCACUAGUGUAGAUAUUAUGAAAUAAAAAUUUUGUAUAAAUAAAAAUAUCAGUUUGGUAUGAAAAAUAAUAAAUAUAGUUAAUAAUUUAUAAACAAACACUUCUAUAACAAAAUAAAACUAAAAUGAAAAAAAUUAAUCGUUUUCCAAAUAAGAAUUAUUCAAGCGCUUGUUAAAAAAAACGCAUACAUACAAAUGGAUGAUUAAAAAUAUUUUUAUAAAUACAAUAAAGAUAAAAUAUCAUAUAGUAAGUUGAUAAUGAAUUAAAAAAAAAAUCACAUAAUAUGCAUAGACUAAUAUAUACUAUAUGAUAUAUAUAUAUAUAUAAUAUAUAUAUAUCGAGUUGAGUUAGAAAUGCUAUCGAUAGCGAACGGGGCGCUCCGCGCCAUCCAUAUUGUUUUCGAUGAUGGAGGCCUUCAAUCGACCAAUGCUCAUCUUGAAACAUGUUUAUACCAGUUGAAAUAUUAGAAAGUCAAUUUUAAAAUCUUAUUCGAAAUCUAUUUACUAAUGAAUCAAAGGUUUCAAAUUUGUAAUUUUAAAUAGUAGAUGUGAAGAUAGUUUUCUCGUUUAAACGGUAAUACAAAGCUAUCGAAUCAUUGAAAUUUUUGGUUCAUCAAAAUUAUUUAGACACUAUUAGAUUAAGAUCUAUACUCCCUGCAUGCUUGAUUAUAAAUUUCUAUCAUCACUUUUUAAGAAUAUUCAUUUUCAAACGUUCAUUUCCACUUGAUGACAAGAAAGCAAUAUCCGAAAAAGUACGAACGGGUCUUCAUUUCAAAGAUCCUUCAAAUGGUAUACACUAUAUCAUUUUCAAUAAUAUCCCGAUCGCGCGAUUGGAGCUCCAUCAUGCGACGCAACCCGAUUCAAGUUCAUCUCAUGUUCCUUGAUCCAAAAGAUUCUAUCAAUCUCAUUCUCUUCACGAUAUCCUGAAGUGCAAAUUAAAGCAUAUGGUACACCCAAAAUCAAUCAUGCAUUAUACUUUUUUAGUGUAGUAAUUUUCUUAAACUUUAUAAAUUAUAUCAACAAAUUAAAUUUUAAUUUUAAAAGUUUUUAGAGGAAAAUAUAAUUAGUUUACAGCAUUUUGUUCAUUUUGAGAUCUUUUUUUAUCGCCCGAGUAAAACGCUAGUAAGACAGAUGUAGUACGCAAUCAUGCCUAUGCUGAGAUUCCUUGAAAAUUUUUGAAUGUAUCGUCAUCUUGAUAAAAAGUGGCCACCUCCAAUCAAUCCAACAAUUUUUUAAAAUUUAUUUUGUUCACAUAAUAAUUAUAAAGAUAUAAUUUUAUUAUAUAUUUAAAAUAAAUAUAAUUAGUUUAUUAUUGAUAAUAUGGAUGUUAUUUAUUAUUUAUUUUUUUGAGAGCCAGAUAGUAUAUCUACCACUUAUUUUUAAUAGUCAUUUAAAAUACAGAACUGAACAAUAUGAAUUAAUAAAAUAAUUGUUAUUAUUAAUGAUGUGAUGUAAGUAUGAUACAGCUAAAUUUUUUCCGCAGGCCAUCUAUAAUGCCUUUAUCGGACAAAUAACUCAUGCAUUCAUUCCUUUCUAUAUUAUUAGGAAGCAUUUUGGUGCUCGUCCUUUGUUUGGACAGAUGGCAAUCAUCGAAUGAGGGGGCCCCGUACAAACCUUCACUCUCCGUACCAAGGGUUAUUGCAGCUAUAUUUGUUUAUUGACAUCGACCACGUGUUGCACGAGCGGAAAGGGAGUGAUAAGAAAAUCUCAUAAAUUAUUAAUACGUCCAGGGCUCUCUUGAGUCAUUAGGAUGUGAUAUGGUUGACGAAAUUGUAGAAAAAAAAAUUUAUCAAGAAAAAAAAUUUGGAUGGAAAAAAAUAUUUAGUCUUUGUGUUUGAUUUGUAGGAAAAGAAAAUAUUUUUCAUGAAUGUUGUUUGUUGAAAAAAAAAAUUGAUAAAAAGACUAUUUUAAUAUAAUUUUUUAUUAUAUAUUAUAAUAUAUUAUUAUAAUUUUUAUUUAUAGAUUAAAUAUAUUUAAAAUUAAUAAAUAUAUACAUAAAAUGAAGAGUUAUAAUUUAGAAGAAUUAAUAAAUAUAUACUAUAUAUAUAUAUGGUUGUUUCGUUAGAAGAGAAUAAAAAAAUGAAAAGUAAAUAAAAAACGAUUUAUAUAUUCUUUUUUUAUUAUUAUAUAUAUUAUAUAGGAAAUUUCAUAGAUGCCCUUCAGGAACCUAUUAAUUUCCAUCAAUGCCCUUCUAAAACUGAUAAUAUGCAUGAAUGCCCUCCAAAUAUAUCAACAAAUUUCAUAAAUACCUUCACUAGUUAAGUUCGUCAAAGUCCCUUUAAAAUAGAGUUAUAUUUUUAAAAUGGCCAUUUUUACGCCUUUAUCUCCCCAUUAACAGUAGAAGAAUAUCUAAAUAGAUAUUUCAAGACAAUUUCUAUAUCACCUAAGUUUAAUUAUUAAAUUAAAUUAUUAAUAUUAAUUAAUUAUAAAAAUAUAUAAUUAUUAAUUGUAUUUUAUAUAAUAGUAUGUUUUAUAUGAUUCUUGGUUUUGUUUCGGGCUGAUUUCGGUUCAGGUUUGGUUUAGAUAUAAAUCAAAACGCAUUACCAUUGAGUUUGAAAUAUAAUGUGAUGUUUAUUUUUUUUCAUCUAAGCUUUAACUGAAACUAUAUGAGUUUUAUAAAUUAUAUUUAAAAGUANNNNNNNNNNNNNNNNNNNNNNNNNUUCUUAGUUAGUCAUAGGAUAUAUAUAGGAUGUUAAGAUCUGUAUAAUUGGGAAAGUGAGGGGUUUUGUAUAGAAAUUUGUCUUGUCGAUAUUAUUGAUUGUUUACAAGUGCUAAACUGUUAAAAUCUCACAACACACCAUAUGGCGAAAAACUGUAAAAUUGUUAUUUUGAUGAUCUUUAAUUGGAUCGACAGUUCAGAUGAUUCGAAAAAAUUGAAAUUUAGGUUCGAAAUAAUUUCAAUAGUGUAGGAUCAAUUUAACGGAGCCGUCGUACGAUAUGGAACGGAUCAUUGAGAAACUAACGUUGUAGCAUGAAGCAGCAUCCUCCUAACCGAUAAGCAUACGCUACUGAUGCGAUAUUAGAUUAUAAUAUAUUAAUAAUAGUAUAUAAUUAGUAUAUACUCAUGUUAUAUUAUAUCGAGCUAUAUAGUAUUAGUAUUAUAUAUGAAGCGAGCUUAUGAUCUUUGUAAAAGAAUCAUGAACUUGAGCUUGCUUGUAAUUUUUGCAUGUUAGAUUUACUAUUUUACUCUUUUCAUAUAUUAAAUAUACUAUACAAUCAAUCGACCAUACUCAACAUGAGAUAAUAUCAUCCUAACGACUCUCCUUAAUCAAGGACCAGAAAAUCUAUAAGCAGAACUGAUUUGAAUAUUUUUAAAAGUAUAAGGACUAUUUUUGUAUUAGAGAAAUCGUUGCUGCUCAAGAAAGAUAGAGGCAUUAGUACUCUUAAAUUAUUUAUCGCUAUGGAGAUUUCAAAUCUGUAAUCCAGUCCGUAAGCUUGAUAUAUAUAUUUUGAUUUAUAAAAUAAAUUUAUAUUACUUUUUGAUAAUGUUUUUAGUAAUAGACAAGCGUUCAAAAUCAAUCGAUUAAAAAAACGGUGAUAAAGAAAAUAAUGAUAUAACGAUGUAUAUUAUAGGAUAUGUGGCCGGCGCAAAUAUAAAAAAAUAAAAAUAAGAUUAAAAGAGUAAAAUGAAAACCUACGCCAAACGAAAAAAGCCUCCGCAAUACAAGGAUAUAAUCUACAUUAUACACAAGUGAACAAGACGGAUAACAACAUGCCGCCCAGCAUGACCACGGAAAAACGAAGAUCGGCGAGAUAAUAGCGAAAACAAGAAUAUCAGCGGAACUUAUAAGAUUCGCGCUUAAAUAUAAUAAUUUGUAAUUUAUAUUUAUACAUCUAAAAUUAUUAAAUUAUAGAUUAUAACAGUAUUCUAUUAAAAUAUCUAUAAAUUGUGGUUAAAUUUUUAAAGUUUAUUUAAAUUUAGUUAUAAAUAAAAUACAAUAAUAUAUAACCCUUAUAUAAUUCUGGUCCUCGUGGCCUGACGGCCCGAGGCAUGCCGAGAACAUGGAUAAAAAGGAUGUCACUUGGGCUGUCAAGCAGCGAGAAUUGAAUCGCGGCUGUUAUGUGGCCUAAGACCAUGUGAUCGGCAUAAUAUUUUUUUUACAAAAAGUAUUAUUUAAUAGAAUAAUAAUUUUUUACUUAAUAUUUUUAUUUUAUAAAUUUCAUGACUAUUUAAGCGACUGGAUAAAGCAUGAUCCGCAUCCAAGGGUAUUAUAGUGAUUGGUUUUGGAACCACGUUAAUUUAAGACUAUUUGAUUCAUUUUUAUAUCCGUUUGAUUAUAGCAUUCAACCAACACAUACUGUAACUUAGGACCAUAAUAUACUAACUGAUAUUUUUAUCUAGGGAUUAAAAAUAAAAGCACCAACUUAGCAACAAGCUAUAAUAAUGGAUAAGCAUUCGACUGAUUCGACCAUUUAUAUUAAUCUUUUUUAUACUUUAUUUCUCAUUAAUAAUUAGCUUAUAGUACCUAUGUAUUACACAACCAAUUAUGUGGCAGGUCAAAUUACACAAACCACUUAUUUCACCUAGAAUAAGGGCAUACACAUUGCGAUCAUAGAGACACAUUUCGAUCCAUUUUGAUAAUAUAAUUAUAGCAACAGUAGAAUGCUCAAUAACUGUAGAUUUUUAAAUAGCUUAUCAUAGAACAUACCAAACAUAUACAGAAAACACAUCUAAGAAAGCAGCUGAAAAUAGGAUGCUACUUGCAUCCUUAUUUGCUGGUUUUAUAACUAACAUAUACUGUAAUAGAAAUGCAAUGAAUGCGUUGGCUAAUCAUCACAUGGAUGCCCAUGACCUAAUCACUGAGGUUCGACUUUCAGAACAGGUAGGUGCCUGGUGACGAAUUGCAUUUAAUGGACUUCGACUUGCCCAGAUUGUAAGUGGGAUAGAGAGAUCCAUGGCUAUUACAUAAUCCAAAUGACGAAUGACCAUCUUGCAAGGCGGAUUAUCCGUCACCCAUCUGCACCAUAGUUCCUUAUACGAAAAUUUUUCCAGGCUGUAUCUUCUGCCAGUAACCUAUAAAUGGGAUGCAUGAUUGAGUCUAGUCACAAGUCGUAUAAACACCACCGUCACUUGUAAUUUGAAAGUUUUGCAAUUGGCAUCAGAACAGGGUCGAAGAGUAAUUGGUUUGAUUGAAUCACAGCGUAACAUCAUGCUGGCUUUCGUUGUUGCUGCUUCUCCGCACAUGUGAUAAACUAAGUAAUAUAGGCUGAAUUGCAGGCUUGUCUGUCAGGGGCCUUAUGAAGUUUGAUAAGGUGAGUAUAGCUGCGAUGCAGCCUUGGUUAGAAUAUUAUAAUCGAAGGCCUCGAACUCCCAUCCGCUUUGCACGCGUUAGCUACAGACAAUGAAGUAGUUGCUGCUCCGAUAAAUAAUAUAAUUCCCAGCUUUGAUCUUGUAGAUGAUCUACCGUCGCAAUUGCACGAAUGACCCCAGCAGACUGUGCGAACAAAGUAUAAAUUCGUGUUAGCUAACGUUAGUGUAAAGCAAAAGUAUAAAAAAAAUAUAUAUUAGUAGGUUGCAUGAUAACAAAAGAAGAAAAAUUUCAGAACUAAAUUGAUACUAUAGAGGUUAUUAUGCAAAGUACUAGGCUGCUUUUUAACUUGUUUUCGAAUACUAUGUCAUAGCAUGGAUGUCGCCGUUCUUUUGAACUAAAAUAAGUUAAUUUUGGCUAUACUAUUAAUAAUAUUAAUUAUCUGUAUAUAAAUUAGUUAAUAAUAGAAAUUAAAUAAUAUUGAGAAUCGCUAACAAUCCAAUGUAAUUAAAUCAAGUCGCAGUUAUAAUAUAUUAUUAAGUUUUAAGUGUGUUGGAAUAUUUCUUUUUAUAACCAACGAGUAUUUAUGUAAUAUAUAUCUAUACUUUACCAUCCACAUUCCGAUAGAAGUAGGAAUUUUUAUUAAUUAAUAGUCAAUAUUUCGAUAAUUUGCGUUGUAUGCAAUACUGAAUAACAAUGUCCUAAUGGAUGUUUAAGACACUUUUGAUGCCCAAAUAAUGGACUUUGUUGGUUUAUAGUGGGUGAAAUUUGGGUUCGCUGUGCUAAAAAUCGCAGAAGGCAUAUUUGGUGAGAUUUGAAUCUAAAAACAUGUUUAAAGUUAAACUAAGAUAGGUAUGUGUUCUAAGCUGAGAAAUAUUCUUUUGACAAUUUUAUUAUAGUCACAGUAAUCCUUACCACACGCGCAUUGUUUCUUGAAUCUUGUUAGCACCAAGUGGUUCCUCAAUAAAUACUUUGAGGGCACGCAGAUGUCUAUGUAUCAAAGGACACCCACUGCUCUACCCCUCCGAAUUUAGUCGGGCAUGAAUACACACAAAGUAUAAUUGACAGUGCCAAAUCGUUUGUUCGUCGGUAACGAUUGAUCUGGUUCGCGGGUGGAACCGAGCCGAGAAAGUAGUAUGAAUUGUUCGUUUGCAUCUGUUAAAAGGAUUUUCGAUAUGGUUUCCGUUUGUUACAUUAGAAAAUUCUCGAAACGGGUAGCAUUCUUUAUGUUAGUUCUGUUUGAUUAAACUCGCAGGGCUGUUCUGAACUCGCGUACUCGCCACCACAUUUAUUCAAACCUUUCAUCAUGGGUUCCUGGGUUCCGUACAACGAGAAUACCGAUGGCGAAGGACUAUACACAGGAAACAAGAAAAGAAACACAGAUUGAACUUGGAACCAUGCUUAUGUCACUAAAUAUUACUAUAGUAUGAAAUUAGAGAUGAGCUAAAAGAGCUUUUCUAAAGCUAGAAGUAUGUCCUCAAAUGAGCUAUACAUAUAGAAGUUCAAUGCCUUGAAUAGUAGUGUGAAUAUUUAAUAGGUGGGAUUAAUAGUGAAUCCGAAUUAAUUACAUCUUACUAUAUAUUUACUCCGCAUCAAUUCUUUAUAAAUGAUUUAACUCGCACACAAUUAAUCUACUAAGCUGCUUCAGAUACCCUUAGUAAAAUUUUCGUGUAUAAAUCGCGUAUUAUAUGCAAAUUUUUAGAAAAGCGAAUUAAACGUGCAUGUCGCAUUUUUCCAGAAAAAUGUAAAAAAAACGCAUUUUGUUUUAUAAAAAAAUAUGUAUUCAACGCGACCAUAUCGUGAUUCGAGAAUGAUUAGCCAAAAUAACGGGUCGCGCGCGGUCGGUUCGCGGCCGUCGUAUGUCGUCGUCUCUGCUCACGCUUGCUCGCGAAUUUUGAAUCACUGUAAAUCCCUGCUGGAAAAAAAUCCGCCUGAAAGAUUCUUUUCCCAAACACGGUUUCGUAAAUUUCUUUUGAAAAAAUUAAUUUUAUAAUUUUUUUGAAAAAUUGAGUUUGGGAGUCUCAGAAGCUCAGAGAAAUGCGGUUUGGGAAUUGGAGAAAUCGCGGCGUUCGCGAAGAUGUUGCGACAGUUCACGAGGCAAUUUGGCCUCGGUGGACGUAUGAGAGGGCAGAUCCCGGUGACGUCCCUCAUUAGUCAUCUUCGUUCAUUAUAUAUUAUAUAAUUUAUAUUUAUAUACAAAUUUAUUUAUAAAUAUAUAUAAUAUUUUUAAUGAUUUUUUAAUUUUUAUGUAAAAAUUUUAUUUUAGGUUUUUUUUAUAGUGCAUAAACUAGUUGUUAAUCUCUUUAAUUUAUUUAAUUUUAUAGUCUUCUAUUUUAUAUUUCUUAAGAAAUAUGAGUAUUUAUACUAAUAUAAAGUCAUUGAGAGAAAAAAAUUUAUUAAUAGCCAGAAGUUUAUCCCCCAUUUAAUUGGUUGCACGUAUAGAUAUCCAUAUAAAUCAACAUACCGAAUAAUAACCGGAUCUGUUUUUAUAGCCGGUAUUUUCACGAUUUAAAAAUUAAAGACGAAUUUAUAGAAUUUAUAUCCGUACCGAAUUUUUCCGAAUCGAAUAACUAACUAUGUUAAUACCAAAUAGGUCUAAAUUAAUUACAAACAAUCAAAUUGAAAGACCAAGUUCAAGUUGGAUCACCUGAAAAUUAAUUUUACGCACGAGUAAAAUUCACUUUACCCGCACAGCCCACCCUGUAUAUUUAUGGAGUUUUAUAUAUUGUUCUUAUGUAAGAGUUUAAAGGUUGCAUUAACUAUAUAUGUUAAUUUUUUUGUUUUUAUUUUAUCGAUAAGAACUGACAUUAGUUAGCAAAUGAAUUUUUUGUUCCUUUUUAACAAUAAGUCUUUAAAAAAAUAAUAUAAUAUUAUAAGAAUAUUUAUUAUAACUUUUCAAACCGCAUAAUCAAAAGCUGAAAAAUAUUAAAACUAGAAGAAAAUAAAAUUACCUAAUUAAAGUUCAUCAUUACUUACUUCGUCACGAUUUAUUGUUUCCUUCAAAGAUUCUAACAAUCAUUUUCUCUCAAAAUAUCUAGGCAAGUUAAACAUUAUUAAACCAAAUAGUCAAAUCACGGAUUAUAAUUUUUUAUAAUGCAUAAUCUUUAUAUAUAACUUUAGUAAAAUUAUAUAAUCUUAAUUAAAUUUAUUAAAUUUUAAAAUUUUUAUGAAAAAGAUACUUAGUUAUCUGUGUUGUUCAUAUUUGAGAAUUAUUUUUCACCAAUUUUUUUAACUUAGCGAAGUGUACAAAUUUGUAUUGAUUACGAGAAUGCCAAAUUCGAGCUAAAUUUUUUUUUAAAUGAAAAUAAACGAAUCAUUACCCAUCUGCUAUAAACAUAGAAGAAUUUCUUUUGACAAAAUCUACUAGAUGUAGACAUGUUGUUUACGUGUGCAAACGUUAGUUUUUGUCUCUUAUCAAUUCUUAUAAAAGUCCAAUGGAGGGGCAACUUUAGCCGUUUGGUUGUGAUGUAGUUAUAAAAUGGUGUAUGUUUUGAAGUAUACACCAAUUGUAACAUUUCCAUUUUAAUAACUACAUUUAGUAUGUAUUGAUUUAAUAACAGUUAGCACUGCUAGUUAUAUUUUCUUCAGUUUGAUAGUAUGGGCAGUUGAGAUUUAAAUUUAUAAAUUCUAAUCAAAUUUUAGAUAGUAAAUGUGAGAUUAUUCUUUGAGUGAUAUACGUAAAUCACUAUUUAAAUAUUAAUUAAAACUUUUAUAUUAAUAAUAAUUAUAAUUAUAAAUUUGUAUAUUGAAUUUAACUCAUAUUAACUGUAAAUAAUAUUAAUAACAUUUGUUCGAAAUAAAAAUUAAGAUAUUAUAUAACUAAAAACUAAAAAAUAGAACGUAUGAAAAAAAAUUUAUAUUGAACCUAACAAAAUAUUAAAAAUCCUAAUCAGAUUAUCAUGAAAUAUGUUUUUUGAAAAAAAAAAUAAAAAAAGAAGUAUAUGAAAAAAAUCAAUUUUGUUUAUUUUUAAAUAGGUGAGUUGACUGCUGGCUCAAAACCGCUGUAGUUGUACUACGCAUUGGCCGUAUUGUAAUGCUUAAUAAAGUUGUUGGGCUUCUCAUAGCAGAAUCAAUGCAGUAGUAUGGUUCUAAACUACACAUAAACAAACAAAAAAUUAAUAGAUGAAUGUAUUUUCAACAUGAAUGCAAUUGAAUAAUAUCAUGCCAAACAGCAAUCAGCUAAUUUAUUUUUAAAUGCAUAAACGAAAGCGAUACCCAUCUUAAAAAAAAGAAAAUUGUUUUGCAAAACCGUGCGAGAUGUGGACCAUUGCCCACGAGAAUAGACUGAUAAAGACUUGCAUAAUGAAAAAAAGCUUUAUAUUUAAAUUUGAAACGUGAUAUUGUCACAGAAAUUUUUAUUAUAAAAAAAUUAGCACACUUCUCACUUCAUUUAUUAAGGAAUUAAAUUAGACUACAAUGAUGAAAAUCGAGCGAGAGAGAUGAGGGAAAAAAAUUUAAUGUCAGAAUACUUAUUUUGCUUAUGCAAGAUUUUUUAAAAAAAGUUAUGAUAGCUUAUGUAUUAUUAAAAAUAUGCCAAUGCAUCAUAAUUGGCAUUAAAUAAUAUACAUUCAAUGGUCUUUUAAAAUGGUCAUAAAUAUUAAUAGUAAAUACCCGUGAUUAGUCAUAUCAAAAAUUGUCAUUAAUUGUUAUAAAAUAUUAUUGUUUAAGCAUUACUCGCUAGUAUUCCACGUCCAUACAUAACCCGCCUCCCAUCCUCACACCCCCAACUAACUAGCGCAUGAGACGAGCAGAUGCGCCCCUCCCCGCCUCCAUCCCCCAUUCCCAGCCCCCCACCUGAUCCCCAAUCGUUCCCCCCCCCGAACCCUACUCCCCCCACCCCCCUCAUGUAUAAGAAAGAGGGGGAGGAUUAUAGGAGAGGGAGUUUGAUUGGCAAUUACAAAAUACACCAUUAAUUUGGACGGAGUUAUAAAGCCGCAUUGAUUAGUAUGGGGGCCCGGAUUAUGUAGGCCUAGGAGGGAGUGAACUGGAUUAUAAAGUCAUCAUUAGUAGAAUAUAAUGUAUAAUUAAUUAUUCCAUAAUUAAUUAUUAAUUAAUUUAUCUCGAGUGAGUGCUAGGAAAAUCACAUUGCAGAAAAACAGAAAAAGAUAAUGAGGAAGGUAGCUGCAUUUUGGAUAAAAAUCGAGGUUUAAUAAAUUAUAGAAGAUUAUGAGAUUUAUAGAUAAUAUGACAAUAAUUAUGUUGUUCUUCCAAAACUGAAAAAUGAUACGAAGCAUGAGGAACUAAGUUUAAAUCUUAUAAUACUAAUUAUUUAAUCUUUCAUCUAACUUAGUUAAUCAAGUCAUAUUUUAAGUCUAGUUAAAACAUCUCACUAAUACAAGGAAUGAGUGUUGAUUUAAAUAUAAAAUAUUGCUUUUUAUAACUUAAGUUUUAGAGAUAAAUAAAAAUAAUAAAAAGUAUACCGAACCAAUAAAUCUAUUGAGUUGCCCACUUAAUUAACAUUAACUAAUCUAUAUUCUUAAUCUUAAUCAUAAUCAAGCGUAUUUCUAUUUUUUAUCGAUUUUUAUGUUUUUUUUUGCCAAUAUAUAGGAGGCGAUUAAUACUAAUUACAUUAGAAAAUAAAGAACGUUAACAUUAUUAUAUAUUUAAUAGCAACUUUUCAUCAAUAGAAUGCUGCAGUUACCAAAUGGUGUCCUAAAUCUAGAUAGACAAUCCAAAAUAUGAAAGCCCGAGUAGAAGUUGCAACUAAAUUUAAUUUUAAAUGCGUAACUUCAAUUUACUACUCCAAAUAGAUUUAGUAAUUUUUAUUUUGUGUUUCUGUACUCAAAAGUUGCCUUAUUAUAUAUAUUUUAUUAUUUUACAAUAAAAUUAAUAAGUUAGGAAAGUAAACUUUAUUUAUAAAAAAAAAAUCAUUAAAGUAUAUCCUGUUAACAUAAGGGUAUGUUUGGUUUACUUUUGAUCCGAAUGGGAAUCGGUUGAUAAAUCCAUGCGAAAUUGUAUUGUUUAUUAGGAAUCGGUUUGGGACUUCUCAUUCUGAGAUCGGAAUAUGGAAUGGUCCAUUAUCUUACAAAUAAGCAAGCAAUUUAACCCGUGCAAUGCACGAGUUAUAACUUAAUAUUGAGAAUUGUGAUUUAAAGAAAGUUAAUGGUGCAUGAUAGAGUUUUUAUCUUGAUAUUUUAAGUAUAUCUUAUAUUUCAUGAAAUCUGAUGUUACAUUUUGAGCAAGAAAUCUUCAAAUAGCAAGUUUUUAAGAAAGAAUAUAAAUCCUUUAGAGCUUAAUGUUCAUAAGAAAAAGUUUUAAGAGUGAAUCCAUAAUGAUUAAAGUAAAGGAAAAACAAAGUGAAUGUAAUAUUUAGACGUGUUAAGAUAUUUAGAUGAUAUAUGGGCAGGAAUGAAAUGCCAACGUCCUCUUAAACAAUAUCGAUUGUAAUAUAAUCACUAUAGUGAAAAGAAAUUUAGAAGCUUGACUUCUCACUCUAGUUUUAGGGUUUUUUUUGUUAUUUUUAUUUUUUUUAUAUUUUUUUAUAGACUAUUUUACAAUUGAAAUUUCUUAUCGAAUCCUGCUUUAAGCGUAAUUAGAUAUGAAAACAGUCAAUUUUCUAAAAAGUUCUGAUGGGAAUGUUUAAUUUGAAAAGCUUUUAACAUAAAAGUAUAAGUUAAAAUCAUAAAAAUAUCAAUAUUGAAAUGGUCUAAUGUAGGUUUUUGAAAGGUAAGUUCAUAAUAUGAAAAAGUUAAAGUUCAAAUACAUUAAAAUUUAAACAUCUUAAUUUUGUUUUUUUUAAAUAUUCAAUUUGAAAUGUGAAUGAAAUUAAACUAUCAUCAAUCCUUUACGACUAAUUCUGUAAAGUUAUAUUUUGAUAGAGAUUGCCGUGACCUACAUUUAGAAAGUAGUUUUUAGAACAUCUUGUUCGUAACACCGACUUCCAAGGGGUCCCAUCUAGACUACUCCGUCCUAGCAUGCUUAACUUUAUUAUCUCUUGGCUGCCACAUCCAAAUGCUUAGCCGGGUUAAGAGUUAUACCUAUAAUAUAUCAUAUAUUGGACUAUCAGGGUCUCACAAUUCCCUCCUUUUUAGCCUGACGUCUCGAGCAGGCUAGACUCACAGUCGGUGAUGGGGGGGGGUCGGGUGAAGCGAUUGAGACUCAUACUCGCUACCGUAUCCAGACCUCACCUCAGCCGAGCUCAUUCAACUUCCGGCUGUAAUUGCUCUGAUACAAAUGUAACACCGACUGUCCAGGGGUCACACAUCCUAGGGACUAAUCCGGUCCUAGCACGCUUAAAUCUCUUAACAUCUUGACCUUGGCACCAGCCAAAUGCUUACGGUUAAGAGUUUAGCUCCUAUUAUAUAUAUAUAUUGACUAUCAGGGGUCUCACAUUUGUAGCAUAAUUCAUAUUAUGAUUCUUUAAACUGAAAUUGCUUGUUAUUAUGAAUAUUAAUGGAUGUAUGAUCUAUCAAUUAUUUCUGGCAAAUAAACUUGACUAACAGUGAGAAUAGUGCCAUGAACUUGUAAUAAAUAUUGAAUUAUAAUAUUUAAAGUAAAGAUUUGUAACCGUUUAGUAUCAAAAACAGCGAAGUUGAAUAUGCCUCAUGCGAAGAAACGAAAAAAAAAUGUUAACGAAUUGGCAUAAGAAGCAAAAAAAACAAGAAAGCCCAAACAUAGAUUGAUGCCGAGUGGGAGGGGGUGGGGGAGAUGUGUACGAAAUCAUUUGUAAAUUGUGCGAAGAUAGAGAGGAAUUACAUCCAUAUUGUAAAAAAAAACCUAGAAAACCAAUGAAAUCAGAGUAAUUAAUUGUGGAAGUUGAAUAAGCUCAAGAAUUAAUAUUUUUAUUAAUUUGUAUUACCUUUAAUAGAGCAAAAUUAGAGAAUUACUGGAAUGUGAUAGAGAGGCGGAGGUGGAAACGUUUGCAAGGCGGUGGAGAGGCGCCAUCAUCGGCGAUAUUAGGACGGAAGCUAGUAAUUAGGGGGGAAAGAAUCCUUGUAGUUGGGAAAAAAAAAAGCUUUAAUAUCCAUAGAAUAAAUAUAAGAAAAUGUGAAAUAAAAAUAUCUGGAACAUAUUUUAAUACUAAUUUUGGUUUUUAAAAAGUAGAAUGUGAAUUAAAAAUGACUUAAAAAAUUAUGGAGACGCAUAUUUAACAAUUAUAUUUUAUACUUAUUUUAUUUUAAAAAAUAAUAAUUAGCUAUUAUAUAUACAGAAAAAAUAUAAAAAGAAUAUCAAGUUUCAAUAUCAAAAUAUGUUGGUAUUAUGGUUAUGAUUUCUUCUAAUUACUUAAGAUAUUAUAUAUAAUAUUUGUAAAAUAUAUAUAUAUUGGUGAUAAUUUGUAUUUUAUUAUAAAACUGCGCCACGUGGCAUAUAUGGAAUUCCUAUGUAAUUGGGCACUGGCAGCAUAAUGGUUCACUGAAAUGCUUCCAAAUUAUAUUAAUAUAUAUAUAGAUAUUAUAUAUAUAUAUAUAUAUUACUAUAUUAUAUAAAUUAUAAGUAUAGGAUGUGGAGGGCUACUAUGCUAUCGUGAAGCACGGAGCUUCCUAGCUUCAGCUCGUUUUUCGAUUGUUCGCGACUUUCGAAUCGUCGAUUCGGCCCGCUCCGUUAAACUUGAUCUAAGAGUAUUUGAAGUAUAUAGAAAAGUAAAUUUUAUGAUUUUACGAUAUCAUUUGUUAGUAACGAAGGGUUGAAAAUCAAUGCUGAAAAUAAAUAAUAAUUUACAAAAUGUAAUAAUUUGACGUAUUAAAAAUUUAAAUCAAAGAUUCUGAUCUAUUUAUAUAGUAAUAAAGAAUUUUCUAUCAAAAUUUCACGUGGUUUGAUAUAUUCUACAGAACGCGUUAAUCUUGCAAACGCUCACUACGGCCAUUAAAUUGUUGAUUUUGAGCCUACUCGAUUCACUAGGCAAAUAUAUCUAAAACAAUAAAAUUUAUUAUUCUAGUAAUCCAAUAACCUAGAUUCAAAGGUUUAUAUGGAUGCCAGAUCGACGAUUAGAUAAAAGUGGAAAUCGAAACAAGGUGACAUCACGAAGGCUCGUGUAUCCGAUAUGCCUAGUAGCCUACACUCUAAUAGUAAUUAGUAGUAUAUAUAUGAUAGGUAAUAUGUAUACUCGAGUCAUGAUUCGGUCUCAGGCCAGGACCCGGAUUGAGUUUCAAUUUCCAAGGCCAUACUCAGCUCUUCCUCAAGCAGUACGCCCAACUUUGCUCAUCUACUCAUUCUUAUUCUCCAUAUACACAUCUUUUCCUCUUUGUCAUCAUUUAUAAAACUACAUGAUAUAUUUAAUUUUGUUAUUAAUUAUUCAAAAAAAUAUGCUUUUUUGUAAUUUUUUGCAUAUAAUUUUUAAAAUAAAUUCCUUUUUUUUUUUGCAUAGCUCUAAUUUGAGAAUAGUAUUAAUUUUUUUUUAUAAAUUUUAGAUAGUUUUUAGUAAAAUUUAUAUUAAAAGUAAUUAAAUUAUUUAUUCUAAUUAUUUUUUACUUUGAUGAAUCAUAGUAAAAUAGGCAGUAAAUUGGCAUACCUUCAAUAUUUCAAUUCAAAAUGAACCCCCCCACCGCAAUGUCGACCAAACGUCUGGAAAAAUAGGCAAUUAAUUGCCAUUUAAAUUCAUUUCUACAUAUUUCAGUUAUUCUAUUAAUUCCAAUCUUGACGGGUGGAAACAAUCUUAAAAUUUAUAUAAUAAAUAAAAUUAAAUAUUAUGAGAAUAGUUAAGUAUGUAUAACUUUUCAAACCACGUAAAAAGUGAAUUAAAAAAUAUUAAACAACAGUAAAAAAAUUAAAAUUACUCGAUCCCAAUUCAUUCAUUUUCUUCAUCCAAAGAUUCUACAAUCUCAUUCUCUCAACGACAUUCGAGUGCAAAUUAAACAUAUAUAUGGUACACCAAAAGUCAAAUCAUGCAUUAUAAUUUUUUAAUGUAUAGUUUUUUUAAACUUUAUAAAAUUAUAUCAAACAAAUUAAAUUUUAAUUUAGAGGAAAAUAUAAUUAGUUACACAUUUUAUUCAUUUUGAGAUCUUUUUUUAUCCCCAAGUAAAACCUAGUAAGAGAUGUAGUGCCAAUAUACAUAUACUGAUCCUUGAAAACGUUUAGAAUGUAUCCGUUAUCUUGAUAAAGUGGCAUCUCCAGUCAAUCAAAGAAUUUUUUUAAAAAUUUAUUCGUUCCAUAAUAAUUAUAAAAAGUAUAAUUUUAUUAUAUAUUUAAAAAUAAUUAUUAUUAAUUUAUUAUUAAUAAUAUGAUAUUAUUAUUAAUAAUGUAAUGUAAGUACGAUUAGGGCUGGCAAACAAGCAAGCCGGCUCGCGUUCGACUCGUGUUCGGCUCGAUAUUCGGCUCGCUCGAGCUCNAAGAUACUUCAAAUGGUAUAUAUAUCAUUUUCAACAAUAUCGAUCGCCGAUUUGGAGGCUCCAUCAUCGACGCUAACCCGAUUCCAAUUCAUUCAUUUCCUUGAUCCAAAAGAUUCUACAAUCUCAUUCUCUCAACGAUAUCUGAGUGCAAAUUAAACAUAUGGUACACCAAAAGUCAAAUCAUGCAUUAUAAUUUUUUAGUGUAUAAAUUUUUUAAACUUUAUAAAAUUAUAUCAAACAAAUUAAAAUUUAAUUUUAAAAGUUUUUAGAGGAAAAUAUAAUUAGUUACACAUUUUGUUCAUUUUGAGAUCUUUUUUUAUCCCCGAGUAAAACCUAGUAAGAGAUGUAGUACCAACAUGCCUAUGCUGAUCCUUGAAAAUUUUUAGAAUGUAUCCGUUAUCUUGAUAAAGUGGCACCUCCAAUCAAUCAAAGAAUUUUUUUAAAAUUUAUUUGUUCCAUAAUAAUUAUAAAAGAUAUAAUUUUAUUAUAUAUUUAAAAAUAAAUAUAAUUAGUUUAUUAUUGAUAAUAUGAUGUUAUUAUUAUUAUAUUUUUUUGAGAGAAAGAUAGUAUACUAUUAUUUUAUUUUUAUAUCAUUUAAAAAUAAACUAAACUGAAAAUGUAAAUUAAUAAAUAAUAAUAUUAUUAAUGAUGUGAUGUAAGUAUGAUACAGUAAAUUUUUUUUCCGCCAGGCCAUCUAUAAUUCCUUUAAGGACAAAUAACUGCAUGCAGUUCAUUCUUUCUAUAUUAUUAGGAAGCAUUUUGCUCGUCCUUUGUUUGGACAGAUGCAAUCAUGAAUGAGGGGGCCCCGACAAACCUUCACUCCGUACACAAGGGUUAUUGCAGCUGAUGUGUUGUUUAUUGGAAUCUCAUAAAUUAUUAAUACCGUCCAGGCUCUCUUGAGCGAUUAGUCUCUAUCCAAAAUAAUCGUGAUAGUUACAAAAUACUUAUUGUAGCAUUGCCUAUUAUAUGUCAUUUGUGUCGCUUAAAUAUUCUAUAGCUGAUAUUCGAAAUUUUUUGAAAAUGCCCUCUAGAUAUUUUAUCAAUAAUUUUCAUCAUCACGCAUACAUCACAUAAAUAAUUUAAAAUUUAAAAUUUAAAAUUAAAAUUCAAAAUUUUAAUUUUAAUUUAAAAUUUGAUACAGAUCUGAAUUUAAAUUUUAAAUUUGAGUUCAAAUUUUGAACUUAAAAUUGCAAGUCAAUUUUAAAUCUAAAUUAAAUUUGAAAUUCAAAUUCAAAUUUAUAUUUUGAAUUUGAGUUUCAAAAUAAAACUUUGAAAUUAAAUAUAAAACUAAUUAAAAAUCUAGAUUUGAAAGUAAAAUUAGCAUAAAAUCUUAAUUUGAAUUCAAGUGAAUUUGAGUCCUCUUCGAAUCCAAAAUCAAAAUUUUAAAUUUUAAAUUUAUAAUUAAAAUUAGAUUAAAUUAAUAUUAAAAUUCAAAAUUAUAAUGUAAAUUUGAGCGAGUCUAUGAUCGGAGUUUAAAUUGAAAAUUGAAUUAAAAAAAUCUAAUUUAAAUUUUGGAAAUAUUUCGAGAUAAAGUUGAUAUUUUAAAAUUGUAGUAGCAGCUUGGAACUAAGAUUAGGAUAACACCCCGUGACGUGAGAUAAAAUAAGAAAUAUUUAUGAUAUAACUCAUUCUAUUGGAAGAGCAUAUAUGAUAUUUUAAUAUUUUUACAAGUAUCUGCNNNNNNNNNNNNNNNNNNNNNNNNNGUGUUUUUCUUUUCGGUUUUUUUGAAAGCAAAUUGUUCGAAUACUAAGGAGCCGUUUUUUCUCGGUUUUCCGCUUGGUUCACAUGGAUAAUAAUAUGGCUAUAUCCGGCCGAAUUACUAAACACAGUGUCCACCACGGGGUACUGUAAGAUAGAAUCAAACUCGAGUAAAGGUUAUAAAAAAAACAUCCUCAAAUUCUCUUCACUUAUUCCAUAUUAUUGGCACAAAAAUAAAUUUUACUUGCACCAACAUUGUCACUCGCCUCGAGACCUCGCCACAUUGUCACUAACAACAAUUAAUUUCUGACACGCGAAUUUUCUCGCCUAAAAUCAAUCUCAUUUCUUACACAAAAUCUAAAUUUCUGUUUCCAUUCUUCUAAUCCAAUACAAAAUAGUAUUUUACCUAUUUUAUUUACAUCUUAUUUUAUCUUAUCCGGUAUAUUAGCCACUGUAACAUCUUGUGCAAUCAUAAAGUGGUGACAGGUACAAGGAAUGCUAUUCUAACUUGCCACGAAGUGAUUCAAAGUCAUACCUUAUUAUCGUUAUCAGCCCGAGAGACGACUGUCUCGCUGAGAUCAGUAGGAAGAAAUAAGGGAUUUGGUGCUAACGUAGGUAACUCCGAUGAUCCAAAUUCGAACUCUAUUUGAUUCAUACAUUUUAGCUAAUUAUAUUAUAAAUGAAAUAAACAAAGCGAAGGGGUAUUAUGGACUCAAGCCCCUUUGUAGAUACCUCUCAAGAAAAAUAAGGAGCAAACUCAUCAUUCAAAUUAUUCAAAUUAUAUCGCGAUCGAUAUAUACUCAGGUUUUUUCCUUGAAUGCUGAUUUCAAUUGAGAGAGAGAGAAAGCAUCCGUUCUAAAAUUGGAGGGAGGCUGACGAAAAGAUCUGUGCCAAACAUUUCUGGCAACGAGGGUUGGUGAGGGAGGCCUAAAGGUGCCAGAGAGUUUAUGACCGGAGGCUUCAUUAGCUACUCAACUCAAAAUCCUUACUACUAUCGAAAAAAUACUCCUACAAAAUAAUAAAUUAAGCUUCAUGUUAUCGGUGUCGCAUGUCAAAAUAGCAUCCAUCCUAAUCGAUUUGUUUGUUUUUGUUUUGUGUGGUUCAGGUUCUACAUAAAAUUUGCAAAUACCCUAUAACAGGAAAUAUAAAAUACCAUGAUUAAAGCGGGGAACAUUAAUGAAUUGUCAGAAAACUUUGAGAUAUAGCCAAUAGAAAUCAUAGGCAAACAUUACCGAUAUACAAUUUAUCCCUAUAAUCACGUUUAUGCUCUACUAGGUUACUUGCCCAUAGAUUAAGCAUUCCUGAUUAGUAAGGCGUGUGAGCUCAUCACCAGAAUCCUAUAUCAACUUCUCCUAUUUUUUUUUCUCUUAUCUCUUUCUUGAAUCUAAUCGGUUUUUUUUAUUUUCAUAAUUACUUUGAACAACCGAACUGAUCAUGGGUUCGAGUGGUAGACUCCUCUGAAAACCCGCUCAUUAAGUAUUUUAGUCACACGCUAUACUCUUCUCACCUUUUCUUUACUACGUGAACGAUGUGCUAAUUUCUCUCGUUCUUACCUGAAACGAAUUAUAUCAACUCGUGUUCCAAUCUGGGGUGCUAGAACCAGAGCCAACUGCUCCCACAUGUUUCCCAUCUUUGAACCAAUUUUUUCUUUUUUUUUAUUAUUUAUAUCGGAUCAAUCUCACUAUAGAGUGUGGUUUAUAUCCCAAUAUCCCGUCUCAAGCUUUUCUUGUUUUGUUGCUUGAAUCGAAUCGUAUUUUUUUUUUUUUUUGCAUUGAACGCAAACUGGAUCACAACUUCUGCAUUAAACAAACUAUAGUCUUUUCCUCUUCUUCAACUUUAUCUCGUUUAUCACAGCGGGAUAAAUCUCCUCAUCCGUCACUAGGUUCAUUGUCGUUUACUUCUUUGCGCCGUUUUUAGUUUAUUCCUCUUAAUUAUCUCUAUCACAUCCGCAACAGCUCAAAAUCGCACGGGUUACUAUACUACAUAUCACCGUAUGGUAAUAAAACUAAAUAUUUUAAUAACAAGUUAAUGAACGAGGCAUUUUUUCAAUCAAGAAACUAUAUCACUGGAGCUAUUACACUUAUAAUAUUUAUGACAUUUAAAAGAGCACGAAUAUAUUAUAUUUUACAAGGGGAGCUUGUGAUGUUAAGUACAUACGCGUGGCGUCUUAUAAGAUUUUUUGUCAAAAAAACUUUCAUAAUGCUUAAACACUAUCACUGAACAAUAGUAUUUUAAAUUAAGAUAAAACUUUUAAUCCUGGGCACGUCUCUUAUCAGCUCCUUAUAUUCCCGUGUGCAACAACUGCUCCAUACAUUUGAAUAACACACAUCACUUGUCAAUAAAGUCUGUCCCCCAUGCCUCAUGCGACUUUACCUCAAUGCUAUUGAUAAGAGACAAAAUAACGGUUUGCACACGUACACCAUUGGUCUACAUCUAAGUUUGAUUUUGCCGAAAAAAUACGCAUUGCACGACGUACAACAUUAAACACUUGGUUCAUACAUCUAGUGCGGUUUCUGGCCAAAUAAUAACCGUUUCCGACGACAGCACUACUAUUUGUGUCUUUAAACAUGGGUAGGUGUGAGAGAGAGGAGAAUUUCACUGUUUUUUUUUAAGACGAUGGGGUAGGUUAGGAUCUACUUCGAUUUGUUUAUUUAAUGAAAAAUAUAAUUUAGUUCGAAUUUAGAAUUUUCGAAUACGCGAACCACCAGUGCGUCUUUAUUAUUGCCCUAGUAAUAUCGUGCCAAAAAGAAAAUUCUCAAAAUGAACAAAACGAAUAACUAAUUAUCUUUUCCCCUAACACAAUUUGAAAACAUUAAUUAAAAUUAAUUAAAUUUGAUAAUAAUCUUAGUUAAGAUUUUAAAAAGAUUAUACAUUAAAAACAUUGUAUAAUCCGUGAUUGAUUAUUGGUUAAUACAUGUUUUAAUUUGCACUCAGAUAUCGUUAGAAAUGAAAUUGUAGAAUCUUGAAGGAACAAAUGCAUGAAUCGGGACUGAGUAGUAUAAGAAUUUAAUUAGGUAAUGUUUGUAUUUUUUUAGGGCUCGUUUAAUUAUUUUUUCCAGCAUUUGUUAUUAUGCGGUUUUGAAAAGUUAUACUUAACUAUCCUAUAAUAUUAGAUAUUUAUUUUCUUGUAAAGAGACUUAUGAGUGUUAAACAGAACAAAAAAUUCAUCAUGCUAAAAACUGAUGUCAAAAGUCUAUUUUUGAUAAAAAUAAAAUAAAAAUCGACAUAGAAUGUUAAAUGCAACCUUAAAACUACAUAACAACAAGUGAAACUCCACUAAAUUACAGGGUAGGGGUUGGGUAUCGAAUUUUCUCUAGUAAAUGACUUAGUGCAAACUUAAGAACUUAGGCUUCCUUAGUUGAUUGCUUUAACUAAGGACCUAUUUGGCGUACUUGUAAGUCAUCUAUGAGUUGAAACGCUGGUUGGGAGUUAAAGUCAUAUAAAGAUUACUGAUCAUUAAUUUCUAAAGUUGAACAGUACGGAAUGAAUAUACAAAGUUUAUUAUAAUGAAAAAAGUCUAAUUUAUGAAAAGAUGUAAACAUUAUUUAUUAUAAUAAAAUUUAAGUAAUUAAAGAUGAGUUUUAAUAUCUAUCUACUAACUACUAGAAAAAAUUACAUGUAAAUACACGUAUAAUAAUUAUUAAAAAAAGUAUAAAUUUUAUAAUAUAUAUUUCAUAAUUAUUAGCCCAUAAUUAUAUAUAUGAAUUGCCAGAUAUGUAAUAUAAAAAUUAAAAUAAUAAAUCAGCUAAUAUAAAAAAGAAUUGCUAUUAAAUGAACAAACUAAUUAACAAUAAAUCAUUAAUACAAACAAUACAUAUUAUAAAAUAUCUCUAAUUGGCAAAAAUUAUUAUAAAAUUAAAACUAAAAAUAAAAUCUGUUAGAAAUAAUUUACAUUAAAUGAAAUAAAAUCACGUUAUAUAAGAAAAUAAUAAUAUUGAAUUAAAUAGAAAAUAUCUAAAAAAGAUAUUUAAACUAAACAUAAAAAUAAUCUUUUAUAGAUAUUUUCAGCACACCGUAAUCUGUUAUAGACCGAUAACUUAACAUUGAAUUAAAUAUUAUAUUAUAAAGAUCUUCUAAGAUAUCGUAUAGACGCCUCAUGAUAUCAACACGCUGUAUACUUACAUCUAAUAAAAUAAUCAUUUAUUCUUAUAUAUAAAUUUUCGAAUCAGCAAAAAGAUAUUCUAAUUUAAAAUUUAAUCGGUAAGAAAAUAUCUUAUAUUAAUAAAAAUUCGUACGGCAAAGAGAAAAAUGGCGCUAAAUAUUAUUCAACAAGUGAAAAAAUUAGGAUCAGAUAGACAGCAGUCCAAAUAUUGAAUAUACCGUGCUUUUAUAUAUAGUAAUAAUAUAUAUAUAUAUCAUAUAUAUAUACGUUAUGGUUGGACGUGGCAAAAGCUACUAUUACGUAGCAAAAUCUCUAUAUGCUGGACCAGUUUGUUUAAGCUUUUGGGAUCAACUCUUUCAUUAUUCUCAAACAAUUGGAUUGAAAUACUAUAUAUCCAUUAGAGACGCCAACUCAACCCCAGGGGGACACUUCAACUAUAUUAUUGACUAAUAUCAUCCUACCUCACAAUUUUUCAUCGCAAGUUAAAAACUUGAUAGCAAAUAAGAGCGUUUUACUAUUAAUAGAUUUAGCUAAUUCAUAUAUAUCUGAGUGGGUGAAUUAUGCUACUAUACUGCAAUAAGUACCAGCCCUUGUAACGUAUGAGUUUUGGCCGUUGGAUGAAAGGAGUGCGGUUAGUUUGAUAGUGUCCUGAGGUCAGUGGUCGUGCGUGGGGCUUAAAUAGUAUACGUCUAACGGUGGAAAUAAUCAAAGAGUACAUCGUGCUAACGGUAAAAACUCAAAUAGACCAAAGGCUUGGUACUAUCCAUAUACAGUAGCCGGACAUCAUAUAGUAUAUGUAUAUAUAUAUAUUAACAUUAGAAUUCGGUAAUGCGUCUGGUACUCCGGCUUUUUUUCCUGUGGGAUUUUGAGAAUUCGCCACAAACCCGCUCGAUACCAGAUGUACCGUGGAUUCGAGCCGUGAUUGUUGGUCUCGAUUACACAACGAAAGCUCGAAUCGAGAAUUUUUUACUAUAAACUCGUAUUCCUACAAAAGCUGAUACUAAUUCACAAAAAAGAUAAAAAACCAAAGCAAGUGCGAAAGAUCGAGGUGGAAAGGCUGGCAGGGGUUUCAAGCCUCCGCUCUUUGCCCCUCCGCUGGCUUCUCGACGAGAGACAUAAAAAAAUAAACAGAGAGAAAAAAGAGGAGAAGAAAGAGGAGAAGAUAAAAAUAAAUAAAGUUUUAGAUCAGUUUGCUGGAAAAUUCAAGCCGAAGUCUACAAAAACACGAAAAAACAGUCACAUCUUUGCAAAAAACCCAAAAAAAUAGUGAAUUUUUAUGCAAAUUGCCUUAAUUUAAUAAUUCCAUCUUCACUUAUUUGACAGUUAAAUUUUACUUACCAACUACUUAUUUAUAGUCGAUUCUUGUGCAUAUAAAAAUAGGUAAGUCUAAGCCUAUCCUUUUUAAUGAUUAUUCAGAUAUAUUUUAUCAAAGGUGAAAUCUGGACAGCUAAAAAUUCGAUCCCUUCAGAUUUUUGGCGAAAUUGUGGGGGAUUUUCCCCUAAAAUAGGUAACUUUUUUUUGCUUAAAGUGCUUGUAAUUCUGUUACUUGCAUUAAGAACACUGUCUAAAAUUAGUAACUACAUAAACCUCUGUCAAGGGGAUCAUUUUCAAUUUUGAAAUGCGGGACAGUCUUCAUAACUAAUUCUCAAACAACUCUUAAACACCGCAAACUAUAUAUAUAUAUAUAUAUAUAUAUUAUUGUUUAGAAUAUUAGCUGCUUAUAUAGUUGUCCACAUUUCACACUUGGAUCUAUAAUGUGAUUUGAAUACUCAUAAAAGGUGAUUGAUAGCAUACAAAAUUAUCCACUUUUAACAUGCAAAAGACAUAUAUAGACUGUACGUAAAAUUUACUUUUGUCUCAAUAAAUGAAAGAUGAAAUGGUUAAUUUGAUUUGAAAUUUUGUUUUUCUCCUGUUCAACUCGUUACGUAACUUUAUUUUCUGUAGAUAUAUGAGAUUUGGGUAAAUUGCACUCCAUGUCUCUAAACUUAAAUUUAGUUUUUCUUCUUUUUUUUUUCUUUUUUUUUUUAUGGAUAGGUAGCAUGCUACCCGCUUCGUUUUAUUUUAUUUAGAAAUAAACUUAGCUGGAAAUGUGAAUCAAUUAGGAUUCGAACUUGGGUCUCAGAUACCAAUCACCAAGCCUUUUUCCACUUCUAGGGACGGUCGGUUAAAUUUAGUUUUUCCACUUCUAAGGACGGUCGGUUAAAUUUAGUUUUAAAACUUCUAAAUUUUGUAUAUUUUUAAGACCGGACUAUUGAUUAUUUGAAUUAUAUCAUUUUAGUCCUUAUUCUGCGUACUCUUUUUUUUUUGAGAGAUAGAUAACAUGCUACCCGCUUCGCUUAUUUCAUUUAGAAAUAAACUUAGCCGGAAAUGUGAAUCAACCAGGAUUAGAACUUGGGACCUCGAGUACCAACCAUCGAGCCCUUUGCCAUUUAUGCUAGGGACGAUCGGUAAAAGCUAGCGUACUCUAAUAACCUUCACAUUAUGUAUACUAUUUUAUUUUUAUCUAAAAAGAAACUAAACACAAGUACUCUAAUAAUAUAAUUUUGUAUUUUGUAUUUCAAUUAUAUGUACUUUCCAUAUAUAUUGACCCUCACGUUACCCCAUAAAUAUUCAAAACAAAUAAAUCUACUAAAAUAUUAUUUUUGAGAUAUUUUCGUAUCAUAAUUUUGCAUGUGCAGGUGCAUGACUUUUCAAAUUGUCUUGGAGCCAUCCCAAUUAUUUUGCAACCAACGUAUUCAAUCCGGGGACAACUCAAAUUUAAUUAUUGGAGCAAGAAAAUGUAAGGAAACCCCUAAACUAUAGGCGACUUUAAAUAGCUCCUUCAAUCUGGUUUAAUUCUCUCUCGUUUAGGAGUGUAAACGAGCUGAACACGAGCUGACUCGUUAAAAUAUCGUGCCGAAAAAUUUAGCUUGUGUUUGGCUCGCUAAUAAACGAGCCGAACACGAGCUGGCUUACAAACAAUAAGUUAAAAGUAUUAAAUUGAAUAUAUAUACAAAAUAAAUAUAUAAAAUUUUAUCCAUUAAACUUUAAGAUUAAUGGGUAUUUUUUCACAUCCUUUUACUCUAUAUCAAUUGAAGUAAGGACUCCUUGCUUUAAGUUCUAAAAUAUUCAAUAGUUUUAUAUAUAGGAACCUGGGGUUUCCCAAACUAAGAAUUACCUAUUCUAAUACUAUGCGAAAUAAUAUGACACAACGAUUGUUCUCCAAAAAUUUAAAGAUGGCUCAGAGGAUAAGGCACUAAUUAAGUUUGAAUCUUAUCGGGCAAUAGGUUCAUCCAAUUUCUUUUUAUUUUAUUUAAUUUAAUUCAAGGUCAUAUUUUAAAUUUAUUAAAACUUCUCGAGCCUAAACAAGAGGUAGAGUGUUAUAUAUAUAUAUAUAUAUAUAUAUAUAUAUAUAUAUAUAAUUCUGCUACUAUACUUUAUGAUAUAUUGUCCUCUGUACUCAUAAUUAUUUCGAUAGAUUCAGACUUCCGAAUCAACGAUCCACAUCAAUUAACUUUAUUAAACAUUUAAAAUUUCUAGAAAUCAAAUUUUUAAUUUUUCACAUCAUUUCACCUUCACUCAAAACUUACAAAAUUGACAAAUUUAACAGCCGGUAUGUAAUACAUUGCUAGUUUAACGGUGUAAAAGAAUUGGAAUAGAUUGAAUUUUUGAUAGAAAUUCUAUUCACUAUCUAAUGAAAGAUUAUAAACUCUAAUCUUAAAUUGAAGGAUCCGAUCAUCCAUUUUUAGAACACCUCGUUCGAUUUUGACCGUUCAUUUUCUGCCCGUUGAUGAUUCUUUAUUGAUUUGGAAAAAUUAAAAAUUUAUUUUUUAAAAUUUCAAAUACUCUAAGUCAUAUUUAAACGGAGUGGAUCGUCGAUUCGAAGCCUAAUCAUUAAAAAAACUUAUGAGUACGAAGAGGUCCAAUACUCAUAAGAGUAUAGUAGCCUUACUAUAUUAUAUAUAUAUUAUAUAUAUAUAUAUAUGUAAUAUAUAUAUAAUAUAGUUGCUUAUAAUUCCUAAUCUUUCUGAAAUAUCCGAUCUACCCCUACUUUUUUUUUCUUUCUAAAAUGCCCUCAUAUGUUCCACCGUUAUUCCAAAAUACCUCCGCAGUUAUCCCUGUUAUGUUUACUUGAGUUAAGCAUGGAUUAAUGUAUACCGCGAGUUAAAAACUAAUUAAAUACCCUAUUUUGCCCCUUACCAUUAUUAAACAAUUUAUUAAAUUAUCUUUUUUUUCUCCUCCAACUUCAUCCUUCUCUCUCUCUCUUCUCUGCUCUCCUCUAACUUGGUCCUGCCCCCGCCGCCCGCCACCGAGCACGCCCAGGCACUCACCACCACCACCAACGCUGCAACCAGCUCCUUCUCGCCUCCGACCUCGCCCCCUAAGACUCGCGUCAUUCGCACAAAAAAAACGGCCCUAGUCCGCCGCUCUCGAUGCGCCUUCCUCCUCCCCGCCGCUUUGCUGUGCCGCGGAGCAAGAGGGCCCCAGCGAUUUUGUGCAGCAAUCUCGUCGCGUUCGUCGUCCCUCCUUUCUGUCACAUUUCGAUCAUCGCUGUGUGUUCGCGGUCGACAUCGUCUCGCACCACGGUAGCAUCAUCGUGCCUUCCACCUCUCGACCCAUCGCUGUGGACGUCUUCUUCGUUCUGAAAACCCAUUCUUGUCUCUGCUUCCCUUCGGGAACAGCCGCUCCAUCACCAAUAUUGCCUCAUGGUCGCCAACCUCGAGGUUUGAGAGUGCGACGGUGUCCGAGGUUGAGGUGUGUCGCGCUGCCGGAGGAGGGGAACGAGGGAGAGGUGUUUAUGAGGAGUCAAUUGGAGAGUUAAUUGGCGAGAGUUAAAACUUAGGUGAUAGUUCAAUUGAGAGUUAAUAGGAUGAAUAGUUAAUUCAUCUGAGAUUAAUUGGAAUACAAGAUAGUCUUCUGUUCUGCAGCUACAAUCUAAGAUUUAAUUAAUUAUUUUUAAAUAUAUUAACUCUUUAUAUUAUUACAUAUAUAUUAUUAUAAUUUAAAUAUAUAAUAUUUACAUAUAUAUAUAAAAAAAAUUAAAAUAAAUACAUAUAUAGUAUAUUAUAUUAUAUAUAUUUAUUAUAAUUAAUCGAAUUUUUAUAUUCCCGAUUUUAAUUGGUGAAUCAUAAUACCCGCGUAAAAAUAAGCUUAUCUGAAUAAUUGCCGAAUCCGGAUUUUUUAGCCGUAUAUUUUCAACAAAUUUAAAAUAAAAAGAUACGAAAAUAUAUCCGAAUUUUAUCCGUACCGAAUUUUUGCCGAAUCCGAAUUAACUAACUAUGCCUCCAACCACCAAGGUUUGUUUAGCUGCGAUCGAUCUCAUUCGUUUAUCUGCUCGCUCCCGACGUGCUUAAUUAAUUAAUUAAAAUUUGAAGGGCAAAUAAGAAAAGUAUUCGCUAUAUAAAGGGUAUAUAAGAAAAGUUAGUUACGGUAGAAGGGUAUAUUAGAAUGGAUAAAAUGGUAAUUUUACAGAGAUAACGGCAGCUCACUAAUGGAACUUAACUCCAGGGAUAUAUUAGAAAAGCUUGGAACAUAAGAAGGGUAUUUUCAAUAUAUAUAUAUAUUGAAACACCUCUCUUUAAUAACUUAAGUUUCUAUAUAUAAAUAAUUGUUUCUCAUCCUUUCAUAGAUUUAACUUUUUUCAUAUUAUAAUAAAUCAAUUAUAAUAUUAUUCCUACGGUUCCAUUAGAAAAUAAUGAAGUAUAUCUUUAUAUGAUUUAACUCCAACCAAGUUUCAUCUACUAGCAUGCUUCAAUACCCAAAUAGGUGCUAAGUCACAAGACAAUCCAAAAUAAGGAAAGCCCAAGUUCUAAGUUGGCACUAUAGUUAAUUUACUGAGUAAAAUUCAGUGGAGUUUUACUUUGUUCUCAUGUAGUUUAAAGGUUGCAUUUAACUAUCAUGUGAUUUUUUAUUUUUAUUUUAUUGAUAGAACUUGACAUCAGUUAAAAAUUAAUUUUUUUGUUCUGUUUAACAAUAAGUCUUUACAAGAAAAUAAAAUUAAUAUUAUAGGAUAGUUAAGUAUAACUUUUCAAACCGCAUAAUAACAAAGUGAAAAAAUAUUAAACAACAGUAAAAAAAUUUAAAAAUUACCUAAUUAAAUUCAUCAUACUUACUCGAUCCCGAUUCAUUCGUUUCCCUUCAAAGAUUCUACAAUCUCAUUCUCUCAACAAUAUCUGAGUGCAAAUUAAACAUGUAUUAAACCAAAAAUCAAAUCAUGGAUUAUAAUUUUUUAAUGCAUAAAUCUUUUAAACUUUAUAAAAUUAUAUCAAAUUAAUUAAAUUUUAAUUAAUUUUCAAUUUUUUUAGGGGAAAAGAUACUUAAUUAGUUAUCCAUUUUGUUCAUUUUGAGAAUUUUUUUUGGCAUCGACUGUCACUAGCGCAAGUGGUAAGGAGUUUGGUGGUCGGUAUCCGAGAUUUGAAGUUCUGACUUAAGUUUAUUUCUAAAUGAAAUAAAUAAAACGGAUAGUAUAUAUGUUAUCUAUCUCUUUAAGAAAAAAAAAUUUUUUGGCAAAACCUAGGAGAUGUAGACCCAAUGUGUGCGUGUGCAAACGUUAUUUUUGGCAAAACCUACGAGAUGUAUACCCAAUGUGUACGUGUGCAAACGUUAUUUUAUCUCUUAUCAAUCGUUAGUAAAGUUGGCAAACAAACUAGGAGAUGUAGACCCAAUGUGUACGUGUGCAAACGUUAUUUUUGGCAAGAACUACGUGAUGUAGACCCAACCCAAUGUGUACGUAUUUUGUCUCUUAUCAAUGAUUAGUAAAGUCGCAAUCGAGAAGGGUACAACUUUUAUUGCAGCUGAUGUGUUGUUAUUGGAAUUAUGGGAGCAUGUGUUGCCCAACGGGAAUAGGACUGAUAAAGACGCGCAUGAAUUAAAAAAGUUAUAUUUAAAUUUAAAAAAUACUAUUGUUCAGAAUAGUUGUUUAGCAUCAUGAAAGAUUUUUUUAAAAAAAAUUUAUGAAUGCCACGCUUAUGUAUUAAAAUAUCACAAUGCCCUCAUAAAUUAAUAAUAUCAUUCAUGCUCUUUUAAAUGGUCAUAAAUAUUGUAGUAAAUAGCUCCAGUGAUUAGUCUCUAUUGAAAAAUCUCGUCAUUAAUUAUUAUAAAUAUUUAUUUUUUUACCAUUAUGUACUACUAGUAUAGUUACCCGCGCAAUGCGGCGGAUAGGUAUUAUCGAAAUAUUAGAUUUUUAAUUCAAUCUAACUCAUCUUAAAUAGAAAUUAUCAAAUAAUUAUAAAAAUUACUGUAAAAUAGAUUAAAAUUAGAUUAAAAAAAUAGAAAAUAAGAAGAGAGAAAAAAAUAAAAAAUAGAGAAACUCUCACUUAAUGUUGGUCUCUAAGAAGGCGAGGCUUGCCAAUAUUUAGUGGUUCAAUGAAUCUACAUUAAUUAGCAAUAAAAUCAAUACCAAGUGUGUUAUUUUGUUAAUUUGAUAUUUAGAUAGAGGGAGUGGUUUCAUUUAUUUAUUUAUUUAUUUAUGAGGAUGAAGGGAUGAAGGGUGGCUUGCCACGUGGCAAGAAAUAUUGUGCUUUCAUUUAGAUUUAUAGAUUUAUAGAUUUAUAGAUUAUAGAUUUAUAGAUUUAUAGAUUUGUAGAUUAGAAUUUUAGGGUGAUUUUCAUUAUUUUAAAGUUAAUAUAUCAUAUUUUAAAAUUGGAAAAGAGUACAACCUACAAAUAAAAAUCCGAUUCUAUUAAAAAAAAAAUAAAAAGUAGAGAUAAGCCGGUNCCGAUUCGAUUAAAAAAAAUAAAAAGUAGAGAUGAGCCAGUUCAAUAAAAAAUCAGUUUCGACACAAAAUAUAUAACAAAAAUAUGUCGAUUCAGCUCAAAAAAAUAAAUAGAAAGAAGAAGAGGUUCAAAAAAGAAUAAUUGAAAGAAGAGAAAAAAAAUCGAAUUCAAAGAAUAUAUAUAACAAAAUAGAUCAGUUCGAAUUAAAAAAAUUUAAAAAAAAAAUAAAAUAUGUAAAAAAAACUUGUUGGUUCGGUUCAAAGAAGAAUAUAAUUGAAAGAAAAGAAAAAAAAAUUAGAAAAAUUUUAAACUAAGGAAGAAGUGCCACGUCAUCUUACACAUUGGGGAUUAAUAAUGACUCAUACCAGGUUCACAUAUAACCCAACCAUACUAAGCCCAUUUGACCCUAACACACACACACACAUAUAUAGGUAUGACUCACAUCAAAAUGACUAACACAAACCAUGCAAACCUACGUGCAUGGGCCACCACUUUAACAGUUAAAAACACCAUACACCAUUUCUCGAUUCUAGUGGGAUGCUGGCCCUGGAGAGAUAGACGCCGGGGCCGGCGGCGGCGGCGGCGUUGACGGGUCGGAGGAAUCAUUUGCUGGAUAGCAGUAGCCGCGCAGUAUGUCUCCUUCUUGAGCCGUGAAGCCGAGGGACGCCAGCAAGACGUCGGUGGCCCAACAGUGAUGCUCGAUGACGCGAAUGGCCCGGCAGCAGCUCGGGCCCAGGUACGUUUCACCGUUGAGGAAGAAGAGGAUUACCUCCCCCGUGCACGACCGGAGCUCCACCAGCGAGUCCCAGCACUGCUUCAUGCCGUCCGACUGCAGGCGGGCCGAAAGGCCGAUCGGGCCGAUGGGCCGAGCCUCCGACGACGUCGGAGUGGGCACGGUUGUGAGGGAGGAUGCUGCGAGCAAGAUAAAAAUAGAUUGUUUGAAGAGAGAAGCCAUGAGAAACUUCAGUGGAGACACUUGUGAGUGAUCAUAUGAAUUGAUAGAUGUUCAUAAAAAUAUUCAUAUUUAUAGAGGUGGAAUCGAUCAAUAAAUAUGAAUAGGAAAAUGAAAAGUGAAAGGGCAUGCAUGCAUAUAUACGUUUUAAGGAAUGUAAGAAGGUCUCUUAGAUUGAGGUGUAAUAAUAAUUAAUCAAUUAAUGGUGGUGGGAGAAACAAAAUUAAGGAAUUUGUAACAUCUUAAUUAAUUAUUAAGGAAUGUGGAGGGUUUUUAAUUAGCUAGUGGAAAAAUUUGGGUCCUAUGUGGACUCGAGCCCAGUUAAGAUUUGGAUAGAGCCAGGUUAAUUUUGUUGAUUGGUUGUUGGAUUUGGGUCAAGAUAAAACCAACAAUAAGCCCUAACCUAGUGUUUGACUCCUGAAAAAGUGUGGAAAAUUAUUUUUAAAAAAUUUAUUUGUUUAUUUUUUCAUGAAAAACACAUUUCUCCAUAAUUUUUUAUUUCUCUGAUAAAAAAUUUAGAAAAGUAAAGUACUAUUUUUUAUGAAAUCUGAAACGAAUGAAAAUUAUUUUUUCAGUUAGAAAAUUAUUUUCACAAAUAAUUUAUAGAAAAAAACUAAACACCUCCUAAGAGAUUUAGUAUUANAAAGUAAAGUAUUAUUUUUUAUUAAAUCUGAAACGAAUGAAAAUUAUUUUUUCAGUUAGAAAACUAUUUUCACAAAUAAUUUAUAGGAAAAAACUAAACACCUCCUAAGAGAUUUAGUAUUAAUUAUGAGGUACAUAUAUAUGAAUAGUUAGCUUAAUGGAGAAUAACUUGAGAAGUAAAAGAAUCAUUAGAAACGGUAACAUUAUUCUUUGUCACAAUUACUGCAUUAAGGAUUAGUAACAUCUCAAUCAUUAAUAAGCAUGCUCUAUAAUUGAAAGAAAAGAAAAAAAAAAUUAGAAAAGUCCUAAACUAAGGAGGAAGCGCCACGUCAUCUUACACAUUGGGGAUUCAUUAUAUGUAAUAGAUUAGUAUAGUAACUCAUGUGAUGUGAUUAACAAAUAAUUAAAGAAAAAAUAAAAAACGGCAACAAAGAAAGAGUAAACGACGAUGGAAGAAGUGACGGUGAGGAGAUUCAUCCCGCCGAUAAACGAAGAUAAAAGUUGAAGAAAGAGGAAAAGAAAUAGUUCGGUCUAAUGCAGAGAUGUGAUCCAGUUUGGUUCAAUAAAAAAAAAAUCCGAUUUGGUUCAAGUAAAAAAAAAGAAAAGCGUGAGACGGUUUGGGGUAAAGCCUACACUCGAUAGUGAUCGAUUCAGUUCAAGUAAAAAAAAAAAAAAAAAUUGGUUCAAAGAUGAAAACAUGUGGAGCAGUUGAGCUGGUUCAGGGCAAUGUAACCUAUUGAUCUGAUUCAUUUCAAGUAAAGAAAGGGAGAAAUUAAGUUCGUUCCACGUAAAGAAAGAAAAAAAUAUGUGAAAAGCUUAAGCCGGUUCGGAGGAGUCUACAUUUAACAAUGAUCAACUCAAUUCAAGUAAAGAACAAGAAAAAUCCAAUUCGACUGAAGCAAAAAAAAAAGAAAAAAGAUACGUGUAGAACUUGAACAGUUUCUGGAUGAAGCCCACAUUUAAUAAUGAAAGGAACGUUAUCAUGUAGCAAAACUAAAAGAAAUAACGUAUAAGGAUAGAUUGAUAUCAUUAAUGUCACUUAAAUUUUCUAUAGUGAUAUUCAAAGUUUUCUACAUUAUUAAUGUCGCUUAAAUGAUAUUCAAAAUUUUCUGUAGAGUAGUUUCAAAAUUUAUUAGAACUAAGAUUAGGAUAAUGCUAUUUGACAUGAGAUAACAUGAGAGAUAUUUAUGAUAUUUUUAGAAGUAUUUGUGAUAGUUUAAGAUUUUGAGGAGUACCUAUGAAGCUGUCCCUAAAAAAAUCUGCAGUUUUGAGCUCUCACAACCUCGUUUCAAAAUUUGGAAGAUAUCGCUCCUUGACUUUCGAAUUUUAUGUAGUACAAUUUUUAGACGGUGUUCUUAAGGUAAGAAACUUAUAAGCAACUUUAAAGGAAAAAAAGUUAUAUACUUACAGGGAUCGCAUUUAAUUUGGAAAUUUGAAUACGAGUUUUUACUUUUUAGCCGUUCAAAUUUCACACUUUGAUAAAUAAUAUGACUUGAACACUCGUACAAGACGAUAGCAUACCCUCACCCUCUUUUCAUACGCACAAGACAUAAACUAUAAUGAAUGUUGGUGCAAAUAAAAUUUAUUUUUGUCCAAAUAUGGAAUAAGUAAUGAGAUUUGAAUUCUUUUAAUUAACCCUUCAACUCAGUUUGUUUUACUUACAGUAUGGCGUUGGACCACUGUGUUAGUUAAUUCGCGUAUAAUACGCGAAUUAUACGCGAACAAAUUGAAAACCGUAUAAAAUGCUCCGAAUACGAAUUGUUUUCCAAAAAAUCAAAAAACUCGUUUUUUUUCCCCUCGCUCAGAUUAUUCACGAUAAAAAUGGUUUUUCCGAAUUAUAUUUUGAAAAAUUCGGAUGUAGCAGCGGUGGAAAGAAGAAAUUUCUUGUGAAUUUUGGAUUUGGUGGUUGCGGAUUGAUGAAAGUUUUUGGACCGGCAUCGGGUGAGCAUUGUUCCACAAAUUUGUGCACCUCCUCGUGAGCAGUCGAGCAACUUUGCCUGUUCAAUUUUGAAGGAAAUAUGAAGACGAAGCGAAGCAAAGAAGAAAAGGGGCGAGCGAGGAAGGAGGACCCUGGAAAAAAUCGCGAUGUACAUUGGGAAAUAGCGGGGUCCAUGAGGCUGCACUCAGCGUCAUGGACCAUGUGGAGUGAGAGGUCCACCGUGCUGCAAUCAUAUAUAUAUAUAUAUAUAUAUAUGAUUUUAUAUAUUAUUUUAUAUUAGUUUAUUUUUAUAUUUAUAAAAAUUAUAAUUAUUUAUGAUAAUGACAUAAAUCUGAAAAAAAUUUAAUAGCCUAAUUAAGGAUAUUUUUCAUAAUUAUGAGUAUUUAUACUAAUAGCAUAAAUCUAGAGAAAAAAAAAAAUUAACAGCCGAAUUUUUUUAUCUCGAAAUUUUAAUUGGUGCACGUAUAAUAUUCGUAUAAAUCACGUAUCCGAAUAAUUUACAAAUCUAUUUUUUAGCCGUAUUUUUAAAAAAAUUUAAAAUUAAAAUACAAAUUUUAUCCGUAUUAUAUUCGUACCGAAUUUUUGCCAAAUCCGAAUUAACUACCUAAGUUGGGUCACAACAUACAUACCGAUUAUUCAGAUACAACUUUAUUUCGCACAGAUGUAUGAGAAUUGGGUAAAUUGCACUAAAGGUCUCUAAAAUUAAAAAUUUAGUUUGGAGACUGUCUGCGUUAAUUUCGCUCAGGCAUCAUUUGAGAUAGGCCAUGCCAAACUAGGCCCCGCCCUCAACUACACGCCACGCCCUCAUCAACAGAACAUUCCAAACUUGGUCCCCUAACAUUUCUUCUUCUUCUUCUUUUUUUUAAAAAAAAGAGUUUAUUUUUUGUUUUAAAUUUUUUGAUAAAUUGAGAUGUUUUAGUGAAAUAUAUUAAGAAUUUUAUCAGAUUUUCCGUGAUUCCAUCAAAUUUAAAAGUUUUGACCAUUCCUAGCAAUUGAAACUUGAAUAAUUUAUAACUAACUAGAAUUGCCCCAAUUAAACAACUUUAGAAGAUAAACAUAUGUUAAGAGUUGAGGAGUCAAAUUCAAAGGAGCCUAUGAUUGAGCGCGUCUUCAUAGAGAUCUACCGAUUAUCUGCUCAUGUAUGCAGCAACCAGAGCUAAACUAUGUUUAUCAGGGCAAUAAUUCGCCCUUUUUUUUUUCAUGAUCUUAAGAACAUGGUUAUAAGCUUUAAUUAAAAUUACAGAGCUUGAUAACAAGUCGAACAAGUUUAUGACAAAAAUAAAUAUAUAUUAUAAGCACAGUCCCAAAAAAUUGUGGGAGCAUCAGAUUUAAUUACUUGGUAUCAUAUUACACGAACGAGCCAUAUUUCAUGCGGAAUAUAUUAAACAAAUAUGAAAAUACAUGAUGUGCAACAUAAUAUUUGACGCAUAUUGGGUGCAAUUAAUUCUAUGCACAUAUGCAUUUUGACUGUUCAAAUUGGAUGGUCCAAAUAGAACGAUCAGUCUUGAUUGAUAUAUAAGGUAUAUAUUUCAUUCAGUUACAUAUUUUAUUAGGAAAUAAAUCCAAUUUCAUUUGUUCCCUUUGUUUUUAAUAAAAUAGAAAUCAUUCACUAGGCUCAGCCUAAAUCUAAUAUUCAUAGUAAGGGUACCGACCGUCCCUAGAGCAAGUGACAAACGGCUUGGUGGUUGGUAUCCGACACUCAAGUUCGAAUCCUAGUUGAUUUACAUUUCUAGCUAAGUUUAUUUCUAAGUGAAAUAAAACGAAGUAGGUAGUAUGCUAUCUAUUUCUCAUAUAUAUAUAUAUAUAUAUAUAUAUAUAUAUAGAUAUUAGAAAAAAAAAUGUCGAGCUCAAUUAUAAAAAGAUUCAUUUAUAUAUAAAGUUGCAACUAUUCGAUCAAAAUCUAAUAGGUAAGAUUUUAUAAAUUUAUUUUUUAUUUAUAUAUCCAAUCUAAUUCAUUUAAUUUAUUGUUCGUUGGUCAGCUCGUGUUCGACUCGUUUAUUAAUGAGUCGAACACAAGUUGAAUUUUUCGGCUUGAUACUUUAACGAGUCAACUGGUGUUCAGCUCGAACACGAGUUGGCUCCAGCUCACUCGUGUUCGGCUCGUUAAUACUUAGAUCUUAGACAUCAUGAAAGCGCAGUUUGAAUAUCAAAAUAAGUUAUUCAAAGAGAAGAAUUGCUUGGGUGAUUAUAAGAAAGAAGUUUAAUUUUUUUCUCCAAGAAAAGAAUUUGAUAUCCAUAGUUAGAUAGCAUGAUAUAUUUUAUUUAUGAGAUUAUUUAAUUAUCUUAUCCAGAAAAUGACUUUCACAGGCUGCAUUAAUAUCAAAUUUUAAAUUUUUGAUCACACUGCUCAUAUAUUAAUAUUAUGUACAAAAUUUUCAAAUAAUAUUUAUAAAAUAUAUCAAAUAAGGUAUUCAUAAAUCCAAAUAGGGCCGAAGUUAGGACGGUAUAAACCAAGUUCAUUCAUCGAAACCAAACCGUACCUAACAACACGUCUUUUAUUAGAUAGUAACUGCCAAAGAGGACGGACCUGGACCAUGUCUCGUGGGCCUACUACCAUGUCUCGCGGAGGACCAUGUCGGUCCAUGAGAACACCUAAUAUUUUUUUAAAAAAUUUUAUUUUAAUAGAAUUAAUUUUUUUAAACCAUAUUAUUUAUUUAUGUAUAAUUAAUGACUAGUUAUUGUAAUAGAAUAAAAUUUUCUCAUUAUAGUAAUAUUUUUUUAAAAAAAGAUUUCUUUUUCAUUAUUGUUAAAAAUUUUUUGAUCCGUCUUUGUUUUCUCCAUCUUAUUAUGGUACAAAUUAAGAGAAAGCUAGAGUACUAUUAUAUACAACCCUUUGUUAAGAUAUUGGUGUGGCUAGGUCGAGUUAGGCUCAACGACAAGCCAUUAUUUCCACCCUAGUGUGCGCGCAUACACAAUUUGCAUUGCAUAAAGAGACACAUGUGAUCCAUUUUAUAGUACUAAUAAGCAACACUAGUACACAAUACUUAAGGAGAACAUUCAAUUGUAGAUAUUCAAACUUACAUGCUCACUGGACACACCGAAACAGAACAGAAACCACAAUGUCGAAGCAAGCUUAGCAAUUGGAUGCAGCUAACAUCCUUAUUUAUGUAAGUUAAGCAAACAAGAUAGCAAACUGCAGUGCAUUGCUAAAUCAUUUGCUUCCGACUUAUGCGUAGCUUCAAGUUUCAGAAACCAUCUUAAUAACUUCGACAUUGGCCCCUGAUUGUAGAGUGGGAUAGAGAGGAGCCAUGGCGAUUCCACAUAAUCCAGAUGAUGAUGACACACCUCUUGCCAUACGGACGUAUCCACGCUCACCCCAUGAGCUACCCCACGAGUUCCUUACUAUCCAAUAUUUUGUUCCACUGCUAUCCUGCCCGUAACCUAUAAUGGUGAUGGCAUGAUUGAGACUAGUUCCACAAGGUCCGCUAUACACACCGCCUCGGUAAUAUUGAAAGUUGUUUCCGCUGGCAUCGAUAAGAGCAGCUAUUGGUUGUUUCGACACAGCGUACAUCAUGCUGCGUUCGUUGUUCCUUUGCACAUAUGUAUAACCAGUAAUGUAAGCUGAGUUGGGCACGCUAUUGGCAGCGCAAGUGCCUUUGUAUCCUUGAUAAGGAUAGUAAGCUGCGGAGGUCACACCAUUGUUAGAUAUGAUGAAAUCGUAGGCCUUGUCCACCCAGCCGCCUUUGCACCCGUAGCUAACAGCACAAUCGAGAACUUCUUGCUCCGAUAGAGAUACUAAGUACCCUGUUUUGAUCUUGUAGAUUCCUUCCACUGUUGCAAUUGCACUGAAUGCCCAGCAAGAACCUAUGCCAAAACAAAGAUAUGCGUUCGCAUAACUACUGUUAGCAAAGUUAUAUAUGAUAUAGCCAUGAUAUAAGGAAACAUUCAAACUGACAUAAUUAGAUGUUAUUUGCAAGUACAGAGCUGCUUUUAACUUGUUUCAAUAGUUGUCAUGCAUAUGGAUGUCCUGUUCUUUCUGACUAGCACUUACUUUGCUUACUUCAGUAAUAUGAUUAUUGCAGUAACUUAAUUAAUAGUAAGAGACCCAGCAAUAGAUCUAACUUGCAGAUAGAUUGAAUCGAGUCGAAGCCUGUGAACAUUGUGCUUGAAUUCUUAAAUGCGAUGGAUGUGUCCUUUUUAUCACCAUGUAUGUAUUUUUGGAUGGUUUAUUAGCACUUACAUAUACAUUUGAUGGCUAAGUUGAUUUUUUAUUAACUAGAUUCAAUACUUCAUUUCCUUGUACACUGAUAAUAUGUGAUAAUACAUGUUUAGACCCUUUUAAUCAGCCAAAGUAAUGGAAUCAUUGAGUUUUAAUGGGUGGAAAUUUGGUCCUUUUGUCCAAAAAAGGCAUAAGGCAUUCGGUAGCAAGCAUAUUUGAUCUAAGCAACAUGUUAUAAAGUUAACUAAGAAUAGAUUUUUUUUUUUUCUAGCUGAAGAAAUGAAGGUGCUUUGAUAAUUUAUAGUCGAGAUUUCUUACCACAGCUGCCUUGAUUCCUGACACUUGUUACAGCACCAUAGUCUCUCCAAUCAAUACUUUGAGCCACCGCGGAGAUGUCUACGUCAUCAAACGACUCCACUAGCUCUGUCUCGAUAUUUAGUGGGAGAGAUACUCCAGUAUAUUGAGAAAUAAAUUCGUUAUUUGUCUUAUCGGUAAACUGAUUGAUACCGAGAGUGUACGAAUUUUCGCUAUGGUUGUUAAAGGUUUCAAUAUGGUUCACGUUGUUCUUGAAUAUCUGAAACCGCCGCAUCUUCUCGUCGUUGUCAUUGUAAACUCGGCCGUACUGAGCCAUCCAUUCUUCAAACCUCUUCAUCAUGGGGUCACUGGGUUCGCCAUGAGAAGCUGCCGAUGGCGAAGCCCACAUCACACAAAGAAACGAGAAAAGAAACAAAAGUUGAAAUUUGGAAGCCAUGCAUAUACAUAUGUAGCACUAAAUAUCUAGUAUAUGUAUGAGGAAAUUGGAGAUCGAGCUACAAGAGCUUGCUUUUGGUGCUGAGAGUAUGGUCUCAAGAUUGUGUUUUUAUAGAAGUUCAUGCCUACGAAUGUAGUUGGGAGUAUUAAUGGGUGGAGGCCUGCAAGAUUAAAUAGUUGUGGACCGCUUGCAACACCACGUCAUGUGGUCAUGUGGUAAUCACGAAAGAAUAAUGUUUCUCUACUUACUCCCACAUUUUAUCCUUGUAAUUUCUUUCAUAGGACAUAAGAUCAUCUUAGGUGCAAGCGAAUGGAACAUACGUUUCUCCAUUUCUAUCUCUUAACUCUUUAACCUUAAUCUUUCAUGCAUAAGCUAUAUUAUUUCUUGUUGUUUAUUUUUCCAUCGAGUAAGCACCAACGCAGGAAAUAAAAAGUCCACAAGUGGUUUAGCCCAUUAUAACUUUAUUUAGAAGCCUAGUAUCAUUCGAACUCAAGGCUACUAGCUUGCUCUAAUAUUGUACAAAAUAAUGUAAUACAACUGUUGUUCUCAAAAAACUGAAAAAUGACACAGAGCACUAGGUACUAAGUUUAAAUCUGAUCAGACUAGUUUCAUUUAACUUCGUUUCAUCUAAUUUAAGUGAAUUCAAAUUCAUAUUUUAAGUCUAUUAAAAUAUCUUGAGUCUAAACUUAAGAAAGAGUGUUGAUUUUAAAUAUUAAAAAUAUUUCUUUUCUUAUGGCUAUCCCUUAAGAAGAAGAUCCCCAUGGCCGAUAAUUUACUGAAAAAGGGAUGGUUGGGUGAUCCCCUCUGUGUCCUCUGUGGUGAAGUUAUGGAGACGGUGGACCACCUCCUUAUAGGAUGUGUGUACACUAAGUUUAUGCUUUUUCGAACCUUGGAGGACAUCCAGUGUUUACAGACUAUGGAGGACGUACCGAUGAUCUGGAGUAAAAUCACAAGAAUUAUUAGGUCGGGGGAGAUUUUGCAGGAUCUGAUUACCGAAGCAGUGUGCUGGUGGUUAAUCUGGAAGGAAAGAAAUAACGUGAUUUUUAAAAACCACUUUGCUGACCCUCUCUUCGUAGUCGGACAUAUCAAGGAGUUGGUAAGAGAGUGGAGGGACUUUUGUUGAGCUGUAUAACCUGUCGAUUACUUUUGUUGCUAUUUCUCUUUUCUUUUUCUUCUUUAUUUGAGCUAUAUUUUUCUUCUCGAGGCCAUGUUGACUCACUGUUUGUAGCCAAAUUUAUUUUCGAAAUGAAUGAUGCGGGUAACGUGCUACCUUUUUCUCAAAUAUAUAUAUAUAUAUAUAUAUAUAUAUUAUAUACUUUGCAAAAUUAAGUUUUUAGAGAUAAAUGAUUCUAUUUUUUUUUCCAUAUUAUAAUGAGCGAUUAUAAUCUAAUUCCUACUAGGGAUGCAAACGGGGCGGUCUGGGGCGGGAAGUUCCUCCACCUCCCGUUCAUUUUUUAUCUGGGCGGGAGCGGUCGGAGGCGGGUUACUUUUCAUUAUUUUUGGUUCCCACUUACCGCUCCAUUCGGAGGCGGAUCGGAGCGGGAGCCGGAUUUUUGACGGAUCGGGCGGAUUGAAGAAGAAAAGAGUCUCCCACCUCCCGCUCCAUUUACGUUGGCGAUCGGGAACGGAUUCGGGACGGUUAUAUUUUUUAUAUAUUUUUGUUCCACUUUACCACUCCAUUCGGGCGGAGCUCCACCAACCCGGAUCCAUUGGCACCCUAAUUCCUACUUUAAUUACCAUUAGAAAAUAAAUAAUAUACCUAAUUUAUAAUGAUUUUACUCCAACCACUUUUCAUCUACUAGCAUGCUCCAUUCCACGUGUCCUAAGUUAGAAGACAAUCCAAAAUAUGAAGAACCCGAGUUAAAGAUUGCAGUAAAGUUAAUUUAAUGAUAACUUCAAUUUAUAUACCUCCAUGAUUUAGUGGAUUUUUUACAUUUGUUCUCUGUGUUCAAAAAUUUUACUUAAUUAUCAUGUAAUUUAUUUUAUUUCACAGAUAUGAUAGAAUCUAACAUAAAGUUAGCAAAGUGAAUUUAUUUUAAAUAAAGUUAUAAAGUGGUAUCCGUUAAAAUAAACUUUACAAUAAAAUAAAAUUAAUAUUAUGGAUGUUAAGUAUAAUAUUGAACUUUUCAACCAUGUAAAAAGUGAUUAAAAACAUUAAACAACGGUACGAAAAAUUAAGAAUUAUCUAAUUUAAUUCAUCGCACUAACUCGAUCCAAUUCAUUCAUUUCCUUGAUCCAAGAUUCCACAAUCUCAUUCUCCCCAAAUAUUUGAGUGCAAAUAUAACAUAUGUUACAAAAGUCAAACGCAUUAUAAAUUUUUUGUAUAAAUUUUUAAACUCUAUAAAAUUAAUCAAAUAAUUAAAUUUGAUUUUAAAUUUUUUUAGAGAAAAGAUAAUUAGUUACACUUUUGUUCAUUUUGUGAUUUUUUUUUUCGAGUAAAAUCUAAUAAGAGAUUUAGUGCCAACAUGCAUGUGUGUAAUUAUUAAGUAUUUUAAGAAUAUAUCAGUUAUAUGAUGAAGUUGCAUUUUCAACCAAUCAAGUAAUUUGUUUAAAUUUAUCUCUUUCAUCAAAUUAUUAAAAAAUAAUAUUAUUAUAUUUUAAAAAUAUAAUUAAUUUAUUAUUUGAUAAUAUAUAUAAAUAUAAUAUAGUAAAUUUUCGUCAUCAUAUUUGUUUGGACCGAUGUAAUCAGGUAGGGGACAAUCACUCUGGGGGGCGUUUGGAUUGACGAAUUUUUGUAGAUUCUACAACGUAUAGUCAAGUGUAUGUGUUGUGAGUUUUCCCUGAUGGUGAUUAUUUUUCUGUGUUUGUUUUGACAGUAACUCGUACCACUGAAAGUUAAAUUCAAUCACUUCUGCUGUUUGUUUUGAUGUAACUUGGUGCUGGUAAAAUUAGUUUUUUGAGUUCCGUUGUUUGUUUUGAUGUAAGUAAGUGGAUCCCAUUAUCUCCUAAAUAUAGUAAUAAAUUUAUCACUAUAAAAUUUAACCUAUUAUAUAAUUAAAUUUUUUAUUAUUAUUUAAAGAUAAUCUUAAUUUAUUAUAAAUAAGGUAAUUCUAACCCAUUAUAAAGAAAGUAGAGUUUAGGUUUUACUGUUUAAUAAAUUGUUUAGAGAAGGUUGAGUGUGGUGGAAGUCGAGUUCGGUACUUUAGAGCCGGAAGUCGAGAGUAGGUGAAGUGGAGCUCUAACGUAACUUGAGUUACAUUAUAUUUUUCACUUACACCAAAACAAAUAACGGAAGUGAUGGAACUUGAGUUCCAUCACUCCACUUACACCAAAAUAAACGGGCCCUCUAUGCACAAGAGUUAUUGCAAUUGAUGUGUUGUUUAUUGGGACAAAAAUUUUAUGGGCAUAGCCCCAAAACCAAUUAGUUUGGGGACUAUGCCGAUCGGUGCCACGUGACUGAUCCGACCGCCACAGAUGGAAAGACAAAAAAGAAAUCCUGUGUUUUUAGAGAGAGAGAGAAAAUAAUUGAAAUCCGUGGCCGUCGGAUCGGCCACAUGGGGCCGAUCGGCAUACUCCCCAAACUAAUUUUGUUUGGGACUAUGCCCAUAAAAUUUUUGUCCAGCUGAGCAUGUGUUGCACAACUUAAGGAGGAGUGAUAAGAGAGGCGAGCAUUAUAAAUUAUCAAUGCCGUCCAGUCUCUCUUAAAUUAUUAUGAAUAUAUUACAAAAACCUUUUAAGAGAAUAGUCUUUAUCAUAAAUAAUGUUGAUAGUUGCAAAAUACUUAUUUUGCCAUUGACUAUUAUAUAUAUUAUUAAUGUGGCUUAAAUUUUCUAUAAGGACUUGUUUGGUUCAAGGGUGGAAUUAGAGUAGAUAAUGAAAUGGAAAUGAAUUGGAAUGGUAAUUAGAAUGAUCCAUUCUCCCAAGACGUUUGGUUUAUUUGUGGAUUGAGAAUUGAAAUGAGUUAUUCACAUUUCAUUGUUUGGUUCGUAUAAACUAAAAAAGUUAUAGGAUACUAUAAUACUAAUUUUACUCUCAUAUAUAAAUUUAUAUUAUUUAAAAUUUAUGAAAAAUAUAAUACUAUUCUCUAAUAAGUUUUUCAAAAAAAAAAUCAAAUUUAUUUUUAAAAACUUUUAUUGAUGUGGGUUAGGAAUAGGAUUUUGAGAGAUGAUAGGUUUUUUUUUUUAUUUUUUUUCUGAUGAGAAAAGGGUGAAGAGAAGGAAGGNGGUGAGAUGGUCACAUGGGUUUUGAGAACUUAGUAGACUUCCGGAAUGAAAUAUCAAUCUAGGCUAAAAGACCGGAAUCAAGUUGAGGGCUAAUGGGCCAUUCCCAUUCCAGUCCGGAAUAGGAAUCCCAAUCCGAUUCAUGCGAACCAAACAAAAUUAACCGGAUUUAAUCAAACUGAUUUCCAUUCCAUAUCCAAAAUGGAUGAACCAAACAAGCCCUAAGUGAUAUUCAAAAUUUAAAAACGACGAUAUUGGCCCAGGCUAUUCAUGGAAUGAGGACCGCUCAACGGACCCUACAUAUUUUUUGAAAAUGCCCUCUAAAUAUUUUAUCAAUAAUUUUUAUUAUCAUGCAUGCAUCACAUGAAUAAUUUAAAAACAAAAAUAAAAAUAAAAAUUAGAAUUAAAACUAAAAUUAAAAUUUAAUAAAGAUAUAAAUUUAAAUUUUAAAUUUGAAUUUAAAUUUUUAAUUUAAAGCUGCAAUCAAUUUUAAAUCUAAAUUUAAAUUUGAAAUUAAAUAUAAAACUAAUUCAACAGCUAGAUUUGAAAUUAACAUUAGUGUAAUUCUUAAUUUUGAAUUCAAUUGAAUUUAAAAAUUAAUAUUAAAAUUCAAAAUUCGAAUUUACAUUUGAGUGUAUCUAAUAUCAAAGUUUAAAUUGAAAAUUGACUUAAAGAAAUAUAAGAAAUAUAAUUAUAAAUUUUGGAACUACUUAGAGAUAAAAUUGAAUAAUUUAAAAUUUAACUAGUGGUAAACUAAUUUCGAGCUAAUCAAGAUUAGCAUAACACUCUGUGUUGUGAGAUAACAUGAGAAAUAUUUAUGGUAUAGCACAUUCUAUUGAAAGAGCGUAUAUGAUAAUGUGAUAUUUUUUAGAAGCAUUCGCGAUAGUUUAAGAUUUUGAGUGGUUAUAAAAUUGCCCCGAAAAAUAUUGGCGGUUCGAACUCUCACGAGCAUGUUUCAAAAUUUAGAAAAUUAAUCUCCCUGACUUUCGACGGUGUUCUUAAGGUAAGGAACUUUAGAGGGAAAAAGUUACAUACUUAAUUAGAGGGAAAAAGUUACAUACUUAAUUAGAGGGAUCGCAUUUCGGAAAUUUGAAGAUGAGUUUUUCGCCAAGUCCAGAUUUCACACUUAGAUACAUAAUAAUAAUAAUAUGAUUUGAACACUCAUAAAAGAUGAUAACAUGCGUGUACGCACUUUUAAUAUGCACAAGACAUAGACUAUAACGAAGGUAUGUUGGUAUAAGUAAAAUUUACCUUUGUCCAAAUAAUAGGUGAAAGAUGGAAAAAGUAAUGAGAUUUGAAUUCUUUUUUUUUACCCUCAACUCAGUUGGUUUGUUCUUGUUAUAGUGGCAUCCGACUGCAACAUACAUAUAUACCGAUUAUAUACUCAGAUACAAGUUUAGUUCGAACAGAUAUAUGAGAAUUUGGUAAAUUGCACUAUAGGUCUCUAAACUUUAAAUUUAGUCAGGCUAAAUUACAGAAAAUUUCUUUGUCAAUAUCUGCUUUUUUACUUUUUCUCUCCGUCAUUCAAAAAUCUAUACUUCGUCCCCUUAAAAAGUAAAAAAUAUUCAUUUCGGUUCUUGCCGUCAGUGUUCCAUUAAGGUUCCGUUUAUAUUUUAUUUUUUAAAUUCAAAAUUGUUAGGAUUUGGUUAGAUUUGUAGUUGAAUCCUAUUUUGGAUAAGAAUUAAUAUUUAAAUCUGUUGGAGAUAAAUUAAGAUUUAAAUAUUAAUUAGAGUAUAAAUCUAAAUAGAUUAGAAUUAAUAUUUAAAUCUAUUAGAGAUUAAAUUAAGAUAGAUUUAUAUAUUAAUUAAAGUCGGAAUUCUAAAUAUACUAGGAUUGGGUAUGUUUUCGUAGGUGCUAUAUAUAUAUAGCAUUGGAGCUAAUUAAUUAGCAAGAAGCCAAGAAGGCUGUGAGGUGUACUGCCAAGAGAGAGAUUCUCUUUGGGGUGUGAAGUACCUGAGAGAAAAAGAGAGAGUUAUCCAAUGAGUUGAGUACACCUAGUGCACGGGUGCGCGUAGAGAAUUGUCUACUUUGUGGGAUUAUAGAAGACGAGAGAAGGGUAGAAAAGAUUCAAAAUAAGGGCUCGGGUUGUAGCUACUCUGUUGCAGAAGAGGAGUCAGAUGUAAUCUUUUCUUAUUUAAUGAAUUUUAUUUUACCUGCAUAUUUUUCUUUUUUAUUAUUAUAUUAGCUUUUUCUGAAGAGACGAGUUUAUGGUGAAAACCCGAUUUGACGUUUUCGUUGCGGAAUCCCAAUAAUCUGUUGCGGAUUCAUAAGAUCCGGUACCGGGACAAGUACCGGAUUCCCAACAAUUAGUAUCAGAGCUGAAGGUUACCGAUCCAAGGGAGAGAUCGGCGAAAAUGGCCACGAAAUUCGAAAUCAAGAAGUUCGACAGCAAGAACAAUUUCGGAUUGUGGCAAAUUAAAGUACGGGUAAUCCUCGUACAGCAAGAGUUAGACGAGAUGUUGAACGGGAAGGAGGCGAAGCCGGUGGAGGUCACGGAUGCGGCAAGGACGAAGAUGGAGCGGAAGGCGCUGAGCACGCUUCAUCUAUUAUUAGCAGAUGAGGUUCUUUACAACGUAGCCAGCGAGACGACACCGACAAAGUUGUGGAAGAAAUUAGAUGAUCUGUACAUGACCAAAUCCUUGACAAACAGGUUGUCUUUGAAGCAACGAUUGUUUACGCUGCGGAUGCAAGAAGCGGCAAGUCUACAUGAGCAUCUAAACGAGUUCAACAAGGUGGUGGCCUAGUAGACUAGCAUCGGAGUCAAUCUGGAUGACGAAGAUAAGGCGCUGAUUUUACUAUCUUCGCUACCGGCGACAUAUGAGCAUCUAGUGACCACAUUGCUUUAUGGCAAGGAGACCAUAAGCGUGGAGGCAGUCACAGGGGCGCUUCUCUCGAACGAGAUGCGGAAGAUGACUCAGGAGUCCGGCAUGCAGAGACAGGAUACUGCUUGGUGGUGAGAGCGAAGAAGGAGACGACAACAUCAGCGACUGAAGAUCGACAGAAGAAGUCACUAUUCGAGGUGGAGUGCUUUUACUGUCACAGGAAAGGACAUAUCAAGCGCAAAUGUCGGGAACUUCAGAAUGAUCUGAAGGAGUUAAAGCGACAAAAGGAGAAAACUGUCGUGAACCAGAACGAGGCGAUAACAGCGAUGGCGCAGGCGGCAAAGUCGGAGAUGAUCGAUUCUGAUGUGCUAUAUGCGGCGACCGGAGGUGCGAAAAUUUCGGAUGAUGCGUGGGUGCUCAAUUCGGCGUGUUCCUUUUACGUAUGCCCGGAGGAGGUGUCUUUUGCCACCUAUAAGGCGAUCAAGGGUGGAAAAGCUCUGAUGAGGAACGGGACGGCGUGCAAAGUUUUGGGAGUCGGCACGGUAAAGAUCCGAAUGCACGAUGGGAUCAUGAGGACGCUGACAGGUGUGCGACAUGUUCCUGGAUUGAAGCGGAAUUUGAUCUCGUUAGGCACGUUGGACUCGAAGGGUUGCGAUAUUUCAGUUUCAGGUGGAGCUAUGAGGGUCUGAAAAGGAGAUCGGGUCAUGUGCGAGGCGAACAAGCGUGGGAAUUUAUACGUUCUGAACGGGAGCACAGUCAGAAUAGAAGGAAAGACGGUUUGGGUUCCAAAAGUUCGCGGAUGUGCAGUCGCUCGAGGCGAAGCAACGGAUGCAGCAACAUCGAGCGGAGAAGACAAGCUCAAGGUGGAGCUUGCAUGGUAAGCUCGAUGUAGCGGUUGAAGACUACAAAUUCAACCAAGGUGGAGAUUGCUAGGAUUUGGUUAGAUUUGUAGUUGAAUCCUAUUUUGGAUAAGAAUUAAUAUUUAAAUCUGUUGGAGAUAAAUUAAGAUUUAAAUAUUAAUUAGAGUAUAAAUCUAAGUAGAUUAGGAUUAAUAUUUAAAUCUAUUAGAGAUUAAAUUAAGAUAGAUUUAUAUAUUAAUUAAAGUCGAAAUCCUAAAUAUACUAGGAUUGGGUACGUUUUCGUAGGUGCUAUAUAUAUAUAGCUGGGGCUAAUUAAUUAGCAAGAAGCCAAGGAGGCUGUGAGGUGUGCGGCCAAGAGAGAGAUUCUCUUGGGGUGUGCCGUACCUGAGAGAAAAAGAGAGAGUUAUCUAAUGAGUUGAGUGCACCUAGUGCACGGGUGCGCGUGGAGGAUUGUCUUCUUUGUGGGAUUAUAGAAGACGAGAGAAGGAUAGAAAAGAUUCAAAAGGAGGGCUCGGGUUGUAGCUAAUCUAUUGCAGAAAAGGAGUCAGGCGUAAUUUUCUAUUAUUUAAUGAAUCUUAUUUUAUCUGCAUAUUUUUCUCUUUUAUGAUUGUAUCAGAUUUUGCUGAGAAGACAGGUUUAUGGUGAAAGCCCGAUUCGACGUUUCCGUUGCGGAAUCCCAACAAUCUGUUGCGGAUUCACAAGAUUCGGUACCGGGACGAGUACCGGAUUCCCAACAAAAAUAUUUCUAAAAUUCUCAUCCAUACCCACACACAUAUGCCACCUCACUCUGGCCCACCCCUCUGUCCAUGCGUAGAUGCACACCCUUGCUCUCUGCCGCCGGAAUGAACAAGAUUGGGAAGAAGGACAUAAAGAAAAUGAGGACAAUUUGUUCAUUUUAUCACACAAUAUUUAUUUAUAAAUAUUUUUAUUUUUCAAAAAUAUAAAGUUUAGAUUUUUAAACGACAAAAAAAAAGAAAAACAGUUAUUGGCCUAAGGUUUUUAUAUAAUUGAGCCAUUUAGUUAAUGCGGAGACAGUCCAAACUGAAAAAUUCUAGAAUGCAACGGGUAUAUUAGUGGCGUGGCGUAACAAACCAAUCAAAUUAAUCUUUUUAAGAAUAUAUGUCCCAUCAUGAUUGUAAAAAAGUAUUUUUAUUGUACUUUUGUUUGAAAAGAAUAAAUGUGAUUGGCUUGUUAUUGAUGACGUGGUGCAAAUGUGACAGUGUAGAAUUCCUCUUCCAAACUAGGCCACGCCCUCAGCUCCAGAACAUUCCAAACUAGGUCCCAAAACGUUUCUUUUUUUUUAAAAAACAAGUUUAUUUUUGUUUUUUAUUUUUUUGAUAAAUUGAGAUGUUUAAAAUAUAUUAUAAUUUUUUAUNUUUAAAUCUAAAUUUAAAUUUGAAAUUAAAUAUAAAACUAAUUCAACAUCUAGAUUUGAAAGUAACAUUAGUGUAAUUCUUAAUUUUGAAUUCAAUUGAAUUUUUUCAAAAUUCGAAUUUACAUUUGAGUGCAUCUAAGAUCAAAGUUUAAAUUGAAAAUUGACCAAUAAUGUAAGCUGAAUUGGGCACGCUAUUGGCGUUACAAGUGCCUUGGUAUGCUUGAUAAGGAUAGUAAGCGCGCUUCGGAGGUCACACCGUUGUUAGAUAUGAUGAAAUCGUAGGCCUUGUCCACCCAGCCGCCUUUGCACCCGUAGCUAACAGCACAAUCGAGAACUUCUUGCUCCGAUAGAGAUACUAAGUACCCUGCUUUGAUCUUGUAGAUUCUUUUCACUGUCGCAAUUGCACUGAAUGCCCAGCAAGAACCUAUGCCAGAACAAAGUUUUACGUUAGCAUAACUACUAUAAGCAAAGUUAUAUAUGAUAUAGCCAUGAUAUAAGGAAACAUUCAAACUAACAUAAUUAAACGUUAUUUGCAAGUACAGAGCUGCUUUUAACUUGUUUAAGAUUUUGAGUGGUUAUAAAAUUGUCCCUAAAAAUAUUGGCGGUUCGAACUCUCAUCACGACCAUGUUUCAAAAUUUAGAAAAUUAACUAGUAGAGGGAAAAAGUUACAUACUUAGAGGGAUCACAUUUCGGAAAUUUGAAGAUGAGUUUUUCGCCAAGUCCAGAUUCCACACUUAGAUACAAAAUAAUGAUUUGAACACUCGUAAAAGAUGAUAGCAUGUGUGUGCGCACUUUUAAUAUGCACAAGACAUAGACUAUAACGAAGGUAUGUUGGUAUAAGUAAAAUUUACUAUUGUCCAAAUAAUAGGUGUAAGAUGGAAUAAGUAAUGAGAUUUGAUUUCUUUUUUUUACCCUACAACUCAGUUAGUUUGUUCUUGUUACAGUGGCGUCCGACCGCAACAUACAUGUAUACCGAUUAUAUACUCAGAUACAAGUUUAUUUCGAACAGAUAUAUGAGAAUUUGGUAAAUUGCACUAUAGGUCUCUAAACUUUAAAUUUAGUUAGGCUAAAUUAUAGAAAAAUCUCUCUGUUAACAUCUGUUUUUUCACUUUUCCUCCAUGUCAUUUAAAAAUCUAUACUUCGCCCCCUUAAAAAAUAAAAAAUAUUCAUUUCGGUUCCUGCCGUCAGUGUUCUGUUGAGGUUCCAUUUAUAUCUUAUUUUUUUAAUUCAAAAUAUUUCUGAAAUUCUCAUCUAUAUCCACACACAUAUGCCGCCUCGCUCUGGCCCACCCCUCUGUCCAUGCGUAGAUGCACACCCUUGCUCUCUGCCGCCGGAAUGAACAAGAUUGGGGAGAAGGAAAUAAAGAAAAUUAGGACAAUUUGUUCAUUUUUAUCACACCAUAUUCAUCUAUAAAUACUUUUUAUUUUUCAAAAAAGCAAAGUAUAGAUUUUUUUUUUUAAAAAAAAAAGAAAAACGGCUAUUGGCCUAAGGUUUUCAUAUAAUUUAGCCAUUUAAUUAAUGCGGAGACAUUCCAAACUGAAAAAUUCUAGAAUGCAACGGGUAUAUUAGUGACGUAGCGCGGCAUAACAAACCAAUUAAAUUAAUCCUUUUAAAAAUAUAUGUCCCAUCAUGAUUGUAAAAAAGUAUUUUUAUUGUACUUUUAUUUUGAAAAGAAUGAAUAUGAUUGGCUUGUUAUUGAUGACGUGGUGCAAAUGUGACAGUGUAGAAUUCCUCUUCCAAACUAGGCCACGCCCUCAGCUCCAGAACAUUCCAAACUAGGUCCCAAAACGUUUCUUUUUUUUAAAAAAAAAGUUUAUUUUUGUUUUUUAUUUUUUUGAUAAAUUGAGAUGUUUAAAAUAUAUUAUAAUUUUUUAUCAGAUUUUCCGUGAUUCCAUCAAAUUUAAACAGUUUUGACCAUUUCUGGCAAUUGAAACUUGAAUAAUUUACUAAAAUUUUCAAGAUAUAUUUAUAAAAUAUAUCAAAUAAAAUAUUCAUAUAUUUACAUAGGGCCGAAGGUAGGACGGUAUCAAUCCAAAUUGGAUUAAACCAAGUUCAUUCAUCGAAACCAAACCAUACUUAACAAAACGUCUUUUAUUAGGUAACUGCCAAAGAGGAGAACCAUGUCGGUCCAGGAGAACACCUAAUAUUUUUUAAAAAAUUUAUUUUAAUAGAAUAAUUUUUUUAAAAAAAAUAUUAUUUAUUUAUGUAUAAUUAAUGACUAGUAAUUGUAAUAGAAUAAAAUUUUCUCAUUAUUGUAAUAUUUUUUUUAAAAAAAGAUUUAUUUUUCAUUAUUGUAAAAUUUUUUUUGAUCCGUCUCUGAUUUCUCCAUCUUAUUAUGGUACAAAUUGAGAGAAAGCUAGAGUACACAAUUGCAUUGCAUAUAGUUAAGAUAUUGGUGUGGCUAGGUCGAGUUAGGCUAAACGGAAAACCCUUAUUUCCACCCUAGUGUGCGCACAUACACAAUUGCAUUGCAUAAAGAGACACAUGUGAUCCAUUUUAUAGUACUAACAAGCAACACUAGUACACAAUAAUGAAGGAGCACAUUCAAUUAUAGAUAUUCAAACUUACAUACUGGCAGGACACACCGAAACAGAACAGAAACCACAAUGUCGAAGCAAGCUUAGCAAUUGGAUGCAGCAAACAUCCUUAUUUAUGUAAGUAAAGCAAAUAAGAUAGCAAACUGCAGUGUUGCUAAAUCAUUUGCUUCCGACUUAUUACGUAGCUUCAAGUUUCAGAAACCAUCUUAAUAACUUCGGCAUUAGCCCCUGAUUGUAGAGUGGGAAAGGAGAAGGAGCCAUGGCGAUUCACAUACUCCAGAUGACGAUGACACACCUCUUGCCAUAGCGGACGUAUCCACCCUCACCCCAUGAGCUGCCCCACGAGUUCCUUACUAUCCAAUAUUUUGUUCCACUGCUAUCCUGCCCGUAACCUAUAAUGGUAUGGCAUGAUUGAGACUAGUUCACAAGGUCCGUAAACACACCGCCAUGGUAAUAUGAAAGUUUUCAGCUGGCAUCGAUAAGAGCAGCUAUUGUUGAUUCGACACAGCGUACAUCAUGCUGCGUUCGUCGUUCCUUCGCACAUAUGAAUAACGCAUAAUGUAAGCUGAAUUAGGAAAGCUAUUGGCGUUGCAAGUGCCCUUGGAAUGCUAGAUAAGGAUAGUUUCUUCGGUGGUCACACCGUUGUUAGAUAUGAUGAAAUCUAGGCCUUGUUCACCCAGCCGCCUUUGCACCCUAGCUAACGACACAAUCGAGAAUUCUUGCUGCCGAUAAAGAUACUAAGUACCCUGUUUUGAUCUUGUAGAUUCCCUCCACCGUCGCAAUUGCAGCGAAUGACCAGCAAGACCCUAUGCCAAAACGAAGAUAUAUACGCAUAGCAUAACGACUGUAAGCAAAGUUAUAUCUGAGAUUGCUAUGAUAUAAGAAAACAUUCAAACUAACAUAAUUAAACUGUAUUUGCAAGUACAGAGCUGCUUUUAACUUGUUUUCAAUGGUUUCAAGCAAUAUGGAGGUCCUGUUCUUUUUGACUCACACGUACUUUGCUUACUUUAGUAGUAUGAUUAUUGCAUAACUUAAUAAUAGUAAGAGACUCAGCAAUAGAGCUAACUUGCAAAUAGAUUGAAUCAAGUCGAAGCCUGUGAACAUUGUCCUUGAAUCCUUAAAUGCGAUGGAUGUGUCUUUUUAUCACCAUGUAUGUUUUGAUAGUUAAUUAACACUUAUAUAUACAUUUGAUGCUAAGUUGAUUUUUUAUACUAGAUUCAAUACUUCAUUUCUUUGUACAUUGAUAAUGUUGUGAUUAUACAUGUUUAGACACUUUAAUAGCCAAAGUAAUGGAAUUAUUGAGUUUUAGUGGCGGAAAUUUGUCCUUUUGUCCAGAAAAGGCAGAAGGCAUUCGGGUAGCAAGCAUAUUUGAUCUAAGCAACAUGUUAGCAGCAUCUUAUAAAGUUAACUAAGAAUAGAUUUUUUUCUUUUUUCUAGUUGAAGAAAUGAAGUUGCAUUGACAAUUUAUAGUCUAAAUUAUUUCUUACCACAGGGGUUUUGAUUCUUGACCUCGUUUACGGCACCAUAGUCUCUCCAAUCAAUACUUUGAGGCACCGCGGAGAUGUUUACGUCAUCAAAUGACACCACUGGCUCUCUCUCGAUAUUUAGUGGGAGAGAUACGCCGGUAUAUUGAGCAACAAAUUCGCUUUUUGUCAUAUCGGUAAACUGAUUGAUACCGAGAGUGUACGAAUUUCCGUUGCGACUGUUAAAGGUUUCGAUAUGCUUCACGUUGUUCUUGAAUAUCUGAAACCGGCGCAUCUUCUCGUCGUCGUCCUUGUAAACUCGGCCGUACUCCGCCAUCCAUUCUUCAAACCGCUUCAUCAUGGGAUCAUUGGGUUCGUCACGAGAAGCUGCCGAUGGCGAAGCCCACAUCGCACAGAGAAACAAGAAAAGAAACACGAGUUGAACUUUGGAAG
rnacentral:lncRNA from 1 species